rnacentral:lncRNA from 1 species
CACGUUGUAGCCCACGUGUAUUGUCCACCACACGUACUAUAGAAAGCGACAACUCCCAAAUCCAUACCUUGAACUCACGCGAAACAACCUAUGUAAACGAAAGAAGAGGAGAGAGCCUGCAAAUUUGAAAGCUUCACCUGGUUCUUUCAUGGCUUCCUUGCUAAAAGCUCCCUCUCCUCUCCACAAUGCGUCACCUCUCUCUCUCCCACGUACCACCAUCUCCACCACCUUCCAGCCUCUCCUCCCACCGAGAUCGAAGCUCCGGCCGUGGCCUCUCGCCCUAAAGAGCAGUAAAACCGAAUCAUUUCUAACCUAUCUGCACGAACAGUUCGAGGACCUGCAGGAAGUGUUCGUAGGAAAAGUGAAGGAGGAAGAACCAGAGAAACAUCAGGGUCCCCUGUUGGAAAGGUGGCGCGAGAUACAGGGGGAGAACAAAUGGAAAGGUUUGCUUGAGCCCAUGGACCCAUUACUGCGUCGAGAGAUCAUACGUUAUGGGGAAUUCGCGCAGGCGUGCUACGACUCCUUCAACUUCAGCACCUACUCCAGAUACUGUGGAACUUGCAAUUACCCGAUGAGCAGCUUCUUCCGAGCUCUGGGCAUGGAUGACCUCGGCUACGAGGUGAGCCGCUACUUGUACGCGACUUCAGCCUCUAACCUGCGCAAAUUCUUCAGGAAAUCGUUGCACGCACAGGUGUGGAGCCAGCACGCGAACUGGAUCGGGUAUGUGUCGGUGGCCACCGACCCCAAGGUGGUGAAGGAGCUCGGGCGGCGGGACAUCCUGUUCGCCUGGCGCGGCACCGUGACGUACCUGGAGUGGGUGGAGGACGUGAUGGACUACCAGGUCAAGCCCAACUUUGGCCCGGACGCCAACGUGAAGGUGGAGUCAGGGUUCUUAGAUUUGUACAACUCGAAGGAGACCGCCUGCGGGUUUUGCUCCUACUCAGCCCGUGAGCAGGUAUAUGAUCUACGAAAACGUUAUUAUAGUUGGUAUAACGGUAAUGAAUCGCGGUGUUAUGUCACGGUAAUAGUGGUGUGAAAAAACUUUUGAUAGUCGGAAAUUUUGGUUAAUAACGGCCGUUUUUAGUUUUCUCAAUAUGAUCUCUAAGGAAAACAAUUGGAGGAGUGCGUUGUUUUCUAUGACCAUGUAGGCCGGUCUAGAGUGUACCGUCACUCGGCCGAGUCACUCCACUCAGAGGGGAGACCCAAUUUCUCCGAGGUGCUUGUUAAACUUGGGGAUAUUAUAAAAUUUAUAAAAAUUUAGAAAAAUAAUAAAAUAAUGAGAUUGAUUUAUAUUUUUUUUGUGUAUGAUUCAUACGGUUUCAGCAAUUAUUUGUGGGUGUUUUUUUUUCCUUUUUCGCAAUAAAUCCCAAUUUUUAUUUGACCUUUUUUGGAUUUCUAAAUCUAUUUUUUAAAAUACUUUGUAAGCCUAUUUGGGCCCUUAAAAGUUUUUUGUUUUAUGUUGUUUUUAAUAUAAUUUUUUUUGUUAGAAAAAGAUCUUUGUUAAUUUUUUUUGUUAACUCUGCCAUGUUAGGCCAUGGGGAAUACCUUGUUUGAGUUGAUUUUAUUUUCAGUAGUAUUCUUCUUAUUUUGGUUAUGGCUUUCGAAACCUUGAGCAGGUGAUCUCUGAGACGCGCCGCCUAAUGGAGCGAUACAAGGAUGAAGGAAAUGAACUGAGCAUCACCAUCACCGGCCACAGCCUCGGAGGCGCGCUCGCAUUGCUCAGCGCAUACGACAUUGCCGAGACCGGUCUGAAUGUCCUCCCUGAUGGCCGGCGUGUGCCGAUCACUGUAUUUACAUUUGGCAGCCCCCGGGUCGGCAACCGGCGGUUCGCAGAUCGGUGUGAUGAGCUUGGCAUACACGUCCUGCGUGUGUUUAACAAACAUGACAAAGUGCCCACGGUACACAAAGAAUGUCCAUUACACACUUGUUCAAAUUCACUGUGGAAAUGCUCUCUACUACUCUCAUAAACUCACUCUCUCACACACAAAACAAAGAAGAAAAAUAGUAAAUAGGAUGAGUGUGCACUCGGACCCUUCAAUCGUUCAUAUUCGAUCUUGGCUGUGCACCCUUCAAUGGUUCAUAUAUUGGACAGGCUUAUCCAAAGGCACACAUUUUGUUUUCUUUUUUGAUGUUUUUUUUUUAAUACUAGUUGAGAAUUCGUAUGAAAUUUGCUUUCAUGUAUCUUUCUAAGGUAAAUACAAUAAAAAUAAUAAUUCAAUAAAAAUAACCAAAUACCCAGGUAUUUUGGUCAUUUUUUAUUUCAUUUAUUUGUUUUUUAUGAAAUUUAAAUGAAAAUCAUGUUUUUAUGUUUAGAAUUUAAAAAUAAUCUCAUAUAUUUUGUAUUUUACAUUUACAACCCACUGUUUAUAGUGGUAUUGUAUUUUAACUUUGGGUUUUGUUAGGAUACACCACUUGGUAGUGUACAUCUUUAAAGUGCUCCAACAUUUUUUGACACUAAAAUACCUGUAAUACAAUAUUUUUCAAGUAGACGCAUUUUUUAGUCAUUUAAAAAGGUAGGAUGGAUAUUUUUAUAAAAAAAUAAUACCAUUCUAUUAGUAGUUAAAAACAAUUAAUACAGCUUGUAAGUGAAUUCAUACACUAUCGGUAAUGCCAUUGCCUACUAUUGUUAAUAAAUACUUUUAUUUCUAUUAGGAUUUCAGGUCAGCCCUUACUUAAAAUACACCUUGAAAAAGAAUCUCCAUUUUCUAGGCCAAGUUUUCGGUGUUCAAGAAGUUAAGAUCCAAACUUUUUCUUAGAAAUACUCACCUAGUAAUACUUAUAUGAAUCCCAAAAAAAAAUUUUAAAAAGAAGAAUUGUUGAUUCCGCAUGAGCAUAUACUAUGUAUUUGCUCCCUCGAGUAAAACUCAUAUUGUCAAUAUUUUGUGGACCCCAAAUUUUGGGGAUGUAACUUCUAGAACUUAAUAAACAACUUUUUCCCAAAAAAAAAGUAAAAGAAAAAAGACUCUCUAUAGGCUUUUAAAUUAAGGUCCCAAUAAUAAGAACUUGGCCAAGAUUUAGGUGUUAAAAAAAUUAAAAUCCUAAUUUGUUUUUCCGGAAAUAAUCGUCUAGUGAUACUCACAUGGACCCGGAUAAAAAAAACUUCUAAAUCACUCUUUUAUCCUAGGUACUUACCCCCACAGUACGCUCCAAUAGGAGAAGUAAAUAGGGCAAGUCAACCUUACCUGACAAGGUCCAACAAUCGACACCAACUUGAUUGGAUAUGUUGGGUCUAAGUGAUCGAAAUCGAGUUAGAAUCAAAAUUGAAAAAUUAAAUUUAUCAUAAUUUAUUUUAUAUUGUUUAUAAUAUAUAAGAUAAUUGUUAUUAUGGGAUACACUGCAAUCGAUCCCAACCCGGUUGGGUCUGGGCUGGAUCCGACCUAUCCAACCAGACAAUUGAGUCCACACUUCUAAAUCGGAUGAUCUAGGAAAACGGUAAUGUAUUAAGAUCUGGCCCGAAUCUACCCAACCUAAUUUCCAAGCCUAUUUUAUGAUUUGCUUAAAAUUAUUUUCAUAUGAAAAAAUUCUCUCACACGGUCAAGUGUGUAAAUAGUUUUACAUCAAUUAGUUGUUAAUUGGUGUGGAAUGAUAUACUAUGAUCUAUUGGUAGGAAAAUAUUCAUAUACAUGACUGUAUGAGAAAUUUUUUUCAUGUGAAUAUAUUUUUAAGAAAAUAUCUUCUUGUUAACAUAACGUGGCAUUAAGGAAUUUCCAAAUGGAAAAAAUGAGGGACAGAUCACUCAUGAUUAGCAAGCUGUUUUUACAAAUAGGAAAAAUGAGGGACGAUUACUCAUGAUCAGAUACAGGACCAAAGAUGUACGAGUCUGUUAAUUAGUAGAUAGUGGAAAAUUAGUCUUACUGGUGAUAAAUGGCUCAUUCAAAGUGGGUUUUAUUCUUCUCUGUAAGUGCAUUCCAUUGCCACGGUUCAUAUCAGGUACCAGGCAUGAUCAUCAACGAGGAUGUUGCCGUGCCUGACAUUGUGGCGGACAUCAUGCCGUGGAGCUACUCACACGUGGGGGUAGAGCUGGAACUCGACCACAAUGUAUCCCCGGUUGUAGAAGCCGGGCUCGCCAUCCCGGCGCGGCACAACUUGGAGCUCUACCUCCACUUGGUGAAUGCAUAUAAUGGGCCGAAAGGUGGCUUCAAACCAGCUUACAAGAGAGACCCGGCGUUGCUCAACAAGAGCGACACCAUUCUGAAAGAGAAAUUUCAUAUGCCGCCGUGCUGGCGUCAGGAUGAGAACAAGGGCCUGGUGCGGGCGCAAGACGGACGGUGGGUGGUGCCCGAGAGGACAAGCAUCGAUGCACACCCUCCUGACACCGACCACCACUUGGAGCAGGCACUCAAAAUUGCACCUGGUUCCUCUGCUACCACCUCUGCAUCUUCUUGAGACUGCUUGCCUCCUUGUCAUCUGCGUACAAAUCGAUCCACUUACUGUGCUUCUCGAACUGCUCAAUCUUCUGCAGCACCCGUGGAUUAAAUUCCUGUAGCUUUGCAUUUCUACAGUAUGGUUUGUUAAUGACACUAAGCGUUAAUAGUAAAUAAAGUGAGGAAUAAAUGGGGUUUUCUCCCCAAACAUUAGUGUUUUUUUUUUUGGAUCGAAAUGAGGAGGGAUUUCAUGAAGGAAAAAUUUUAUAUAGAGCUGAGGUUCUAAACAAUCAAAUUAGAACCCACUCCAAAAAUUUCACUAGAAGAGGUUGUUUUGAUGUCUAAAUAUCUUCAAAUUGAUCAUCUCACAAUCAAGAUGCAUGGACAUGAGAAAAAAAUAUUUCAAGUUUUGGAAAUAAUUUAUCUUGUAAGGUAUGUUUUGGACCAUCCAUUUUCAAGUUUUCAAAUAUUUGUUAGAUCUAUAUUUGAAAGUGUGUUUUACUUUGAUUGUUUAGAACCUUGGCUCUAUACAAACCGCACCCUUACAUGAAAUUUAGGAUGGAAAACAGAUCCAACUUUUUGUAGCUCUAGCUGUUGGAUGAAAUGAAAUAAAUGGUACAAAAUAAUUAAUAAAUAAUAUUUUUUAAUCGAAGAUUCAUGAUUGCCAUGGGCAAUAUUAUCGACCUCUCAAAUUUUGGAUCUGAGAUGGAUUUUGGAGAGGGGACGCAUAUAAACAGGUACAUUGUCUGACCCACCAAAACCCUACCUAUAAAAUAAAUAGGGGAAAUUUUAAUAUACUGUUAUGGUUAAAUGCGGUCCACUUGAAAAAUGGAGAUAAAUCUAGGAUCUCAAACCUAUCAAUUAUUUGCCCAAGAAAAACAUAUCUGACUACACCUUCGAAGUAUUUCUCCUCUAGAGCCAUGAUGGUGUGAGUUUAAAAUAGAGAAAAUUGCGUCCCUUCCCCUUUAAUUAACUUUUAUUACUAAAUUCCCCCUCUUUUUACGUUAUUUAAAAAUAUACCCGUUUUUAUUCUGCUUUUUUAAAAAGGGAAUGGUUUUUAUGAGUCAAUGAGUCAGACUCUUAAAAAUCUAUUUUUGAGCUGGAUUUUCGGACCUAACUUUUAAGGACAUGUAAUCUCUAAUAUGGAGAUCAUAAAUAUAAAAAAUUAAAAAUAAAAAUAAAUAAUUAAAAUUAAUAAAUAAAACUAAUUAUUAUAUGAAGAAAUAUUUGGGCCGUUAGUUUCAAUUGUUAUUAGAUAGACCACCUAUUUGCUUCCAUCAUUAAGAUAGAUGCUUUAUACCUUGAGACCGCAUAUUGUAGAAAUGCAAUCCAGCCCGCGUGAAACAAUUUCCUUUUGUAAAUAACCCAAAUGCCUGUACUUCGGAUUUUGAAAAAUAAAAGUCUACCAAUGAAAUUUUUACAAUUUUGGGAUUGCAAGGAUUUCAAACCACGAAACUUUUAUUACUGUCAAUUUGAUUCAACAAUUUUGGGGUCCGAAACCCUAAAAUUUAUUGGGGCAAAACCGUAUAAUAACAUCAGGGUUUCAAACCCCGAAUUCAUUAAUGUUGCCAAAUGGAUUCCAAGUAACAAUUUUGGUAUUCGAAUUUGUUGGUGCAAAACCUAAUAACAUCUUCCGGGGAAUAUAUUGUUGGAUAUGGUGAAUCCAAAAUCACUCAAAUAAGGAAAUCUAAUAGUACGUGGGAUUGAGAUCGAUACUAAUAAGUUUUCUAAAAAAAAUAUAAAUCUAAAAAGAUUAAGAUAUAUAAGAAAUUUCUUACUUAGUGUGGAUUCUUAAGAUAUAUNNNNNNNNNNNNNNNNNNNNNNNNNNNNNNNNNNNNNNNNNNNNNNNNNNNNNNNNNNNNNNNNNNNNNNNNNNNNNNNNNNNNNNNNNNNNNNNNNNNNNNNNNNNNNNNNNNNNNNNNNNNNNNNNNNNNNNNNNNNNNNNNNNNNNNNNNNNNNNNNNNNNNNNNNNNNNNNNNNNNNNNNNNNNNNNNNNNNNNNNNNNNNNNNNNNNNNNNNNNNNNNNNNNNNNNNNNNNNNNNNNNNNNNNNNNNNNNNNNNNNNNNNNNNNNNNNNNNNNNNNNNNNNNNNNNNNNNNNNNNNNNNNNNNNNNNNNNNNNNNNNNNNNNNNNNNNNNNNNNNNNNNNNNNNNNNNNNNNNNNNNNNNNNNNNNNNNNNNNNNNNNNNNNNNNNNNNNNNNNNNNNNNNNNNNNNNNNNNNNNNNNNNNNNNNNNNNNNNNNNNNNNNNNNNNNNNNNNNNNNNNNNNNNNNNNNNNNNNNNNNNNNNNNNNNNNNNNNNNNNNNNNNNNNNNNNNNNNNNNNNNNNNNNNNNNNNNNNNNNNNNNNNNNNNNNNNNNNNNNNNNNNNNNNNNNNNNNNNNNNNNNNNNNNNNNNNNNNNNNNNNNNNNNNNNNNNNNNNNNNNNNNNNNNNNNNNNNNNNNNNNNNNNNNNNNNNNNNNNNNNNNNNNNNNNNNNNNNNNNNNNNNNNNNNNNNNNNNNNNNNNNNNNNNNNNNNNNNNNNNNNNNNNNNNNNNNNNNNNNNNNNNNNNNNNNNNNNNNNNNNNNNNNNNNNNNNNNNNNNNNNNNNNNNNNNNNNNNNNNNNNNNNNNNNNNNNNNNNNNNNNNNNNNNNNNNNNNNNNNNNNNNNNNNNNNNNNNNNNNNNNNNNNNNNNNNNNNNNNNNNNNNNNNNNNNNNNNNNNNNNNNNNNNNNNNNNNNNNNNNNNNNNNNNNNNNNNNNNNNNNNNNNNNNNNNNNNNNNNNNNNNNNNNNNNNNNNNNNNNNNNNNNNNNNNNNNNNNNNNNNNNNNNNNNNNNNNNNNNNNNNNNNNNNNNNNNNNNNNNNNNNNNNNNNNNNNNNNNNNNNNNNNNNNNNNNNNNNNNNNNNNNNNNNNNNNNNNNNNNNNNNNNNNNNNNNNNNNNNNNNNNNNNNNNNNNNNNNNNNNNNNNNNNNNNNNNNNNNNNNNNNNNNNNNNNNNNNNNNNNNNNNNNNNNNNNNNNNNNNNNNNNNNNNNNNNNNNNNNNNNNNNNNNNNNNNNNNNNNNNNNNNNNNNNNNNNNNNNNNNNNNNNNNNNNNNNNNNNNNNNNNNNNNNNNNNNNNNNNNNNNNNNNNNNNNNNNNNNNNNNNNNNNNNNNNNNNNNNNNNNNNNNNNNNNNNNNNNNNNNNNNNNNNNNNNNNNNNNNNNNNNNNNNNNNNNNNNNNNNNNNNNNNNNNNNNNNNNNNNNNNNNNNNNNNNNNNNNNNNNNNNNNNNNNNNNNNNNNNNNNNNNNNNNNNNNNNNNNNNNNNNNNNNUAUAUAUAUAUAUAUAUAUAUAUAUAUAUAUAUAAAAUAUGGAUUAGAUAUCCAAUUCCUAAUGAAAAAGAUUUAUUAGAUAGACUUGUAAAUGCUUGUAUUUUUUCAAAAUUUGACCUUAAAUUUGGAUACUGGCAAAUACAAAUAAAUGAAAACGAUUGCUAUAAAACAACAUUUAAUGUUCCAUUUGGCCAGUAUGAAUGGAAUGUAAUGCCAUUCGGCUUAAAAAAUGCACUAUCUGAAUUCCAGAAAAUUAUGAAUGAUGUUUUUAACCCUUAUAUGACAUCUAUGAUAGUUUACAUUGAUGAUGUUCUUAUUUUUUCAACUGAUAUACAUCAACAUUUUAAACAUUUACAUAUAUUUCUCAAUACUGUUAAAAAUGUAGGACUUGUAGUUUCUGCAAAGAAAAUGGUUCUUUGUCAAACUAAAAUUAGAUUCUCAGGCCAUAAUAUCUUCCAAGGCCCAAUUAUUCCCAUAGAUAGAGCUAUUGAGUUUCUAAUGGCUUUGAUACCAAACAGACUCCAAGAUCUUAUUUUGUCUCAAAUUCUUAAAUUCUAAAGUUAUCUCAGUAACAUAGAGAGCAUAAUGCUAUAAUUUAAUAAUGAUCUAAGAAGAGAAGUGUAGUAUAGAAAGAUAAAUAAAAUAAUAAUGAAUGAAAUAACAGAGAUAUCUAAUAUUAUCCACGUGGUAUAAUUAUUAUUUAGUAUCUUAACGCUAACUAUUAUUUUAAACUGCAUAAUAUGAACAAUCUUUAUUGAUACAGAUUCAAACAAAGUACAUAUUGAUAUAAAGUACAAACAGAGUGAAACUGAAUACAGACGGUAUACAACUUACAAUUUACAAAAGAAGAAACUUGAAAAGUGUUGCCAUUCGUACGGACAGAACGAUGAUAAUUUAUGUAUAUUAUAGUCACACAUUACUGCAAAAUAAAAUAAAAGGUAAUGAAAAGAUCUUACUUGAAAAAGGCUUGCCUGAAGGUUUCGCAGAAGUCAGGCGGAAUGUGAUCGGGUAGAGAGUAAUGAAGCCUUUCUGAAUAGGGAGAGAGAAAGCAGGCAGAGCUUAUGAAACGAGAGAGAGCAGGCGGAGCUUUAGAAGAGGGGGAAUAGGUGAAAGUUCCCUAUACCUCAAGUGAAUGAGAAGAGAGGGUUUUAUAGGCAGGAGUGAGCAGACAAAGGUGUCGAGCUGGAGCUGUUUUGAUUAGACAUAAAGAGUGAAGAGGACGUAAAGAGAAGAAAGGAAUUUGGCAGUGGUGAGCUGACAAAGUGAGCUGGCAGAGUUGAUGAGAAGAAAGGAAUCUUUAAAGUCAGAUAUAACGUAAAGAUAAGGGGUGAAAGAGACAUGACACGAGCAAAAGCAACUUUUGUACAUGACAUGACUAAAAGAAAAAACAAAAGUAACUUUUGUACAUGACAUGACUAAAAAAAAAUAACUUGUGUCGGCCAUAUCGUACGGAAGGUAUCUUGAUUAGUGACUUCCGUCGCUUCUGUCGUACGGCUGAUGCCAUCUGUUGACCCCUUUUGGAUGUAUAUACAGGUGGCUUCACUGGAAAGGAGAAUGUGACAACUGUCUAAAACGAUAGCUGAUAUUCUUUACAGUUUGCUGGGCUGAGCAGGGCUUAUUCGGGUCUUUGCCUGAAGUCAUUGUCGGGCUUAGAUGAAGGAGAUGUGGCUUUUGAGGUUUCUUUAUGUGUGAUCUUUAAUAACUGAUUCUCUAAUUCAUCUUUAGUUGCUCUAGGGUUUUGUCUUAUAUAUUCUGCGAAAGUAUUUGGAUCAAAUUCUUUGGGAGUAUUUUUGAUAAUCAUGAGCAGCAGGAGGUAUUCGUUUAGCUUUUAUAGUAUUUGGGUCCAUGCUAAAAACAUCCCACCAUCGAAUCGAUAUUCUCUUUCCCAAUCGAGGUAUAUAUUCAAAAUUAUUAUGAGUAUUUUCAUUUAUUCUAUAUUCCCAUUGUACUAUCCAGGGUAUUUAAUAUAUAGCCAUAAAAUAAAGAUGAUAGUCUAUAUCAUCAUUAACUCCAUUAUAUUUAGCAAAUGUUUUUUGAGCACUUUUAAAGGAGUCAAGCAAUAUCUGAGUUCUUGAUCCCGAGAUUAGAAACCAGUAACGGAACCAACUCGGGAAUCUCUUAAAAACAGGCAUUUUAAUAUGAACAAACCAUGUUUGAGAAUUAUUUAGAUUUUGAUAUGCAAACACUUUAUGCCAUGCAUCUAUAUAUUCAGUAUAUCGAUAUGAUUUAUAUUGAAAUUCUGCGGCUUGAAGUUUCCGGCCCUGGGAUGGGCUGUAUCCCUAAUCAUCUUAUGACAAUAAUUUCCUCAUUUGUAUUUUCGAAUAUCCAAUUAUUUUUGUAUUGGGAUUGAAGAAAUACACAAUUGAAAUAGACCCUGUUUCUAAAAGGACAGCUUCGUACCAUUCUCUGGUCUUGUUGCCGUUUGAAGGAUUGAGGUGGUUUUGUAAAUAUAGAGGGGCUAAUUUAUUUGGGUCAAUAUGUUUCAUCAAUGAUAACAUAUAUUAAGAAAGUAGUUUCUUCAUAUACGGAUUUAUUUGGGUUAACGGAUUUAUGAAUAUAUUGGCUGAUUAUUGUUCUUUUAUCUCCAGUAUUAGGUAUUUUAUCUAUAAUUUCUAGAAUUAAAUUGUCUUCUUUGAUAAGAGUAUGACAUGCACAUUUGUUAUCGUUUUCUGAAGAUGUCUCAUUUAAUAAAUCUUCAUCUUUUAUUAUUCUUAUAUCUGAUUCUUCAUCAUAACUUUUCGAAUAUGAGGAAGAUGUUGUACUACUAUUAUUAUCAUUAUCAUAUAGUUGAAUAAUUUCAUAUAAUUGAUUUCUUAUAUUUUCAUCCACUAUUAAUGAUUCUAUCUUUUUUUCUACCUGACAAUUAUUUUUAUAAUGUCCUAAUUUUCCACAUUUAUAGCAUCUAGGUAUUUUUCUUCUAGGCUUUUUAGAACUUCCUUUAGAAGGUUGUUCAUACUUUUUGUAUUUAUUUUUCUUAUACGAUUUUUUGUAUGAUUUUUGUCGCUUUUCUUGUUUUAUUCUUUUAUGGGGUUUAUUUUGGAAAAUAUUUAGAUUGUAUUCAAAUUGUUCAUAAAAAUCACCAAGUUCUUUAUGACCAGUCAUCUUUUGUUUAUCAAGUAGUUUUUUGAGUUUUAGAUCAGUACAAAGAGCUAGCCCUUCAGCACAUAUCUCGCCCGAUAAUUCUCCUAGAGUAUAUGGUCUUAUCUCUCGGACUACCGUAUAAAUGACUAAUGUUAUCUCAAUCUUAUCUCAUAAACAUUAUUAUUGGCUAAAAGUAGUUUAACAGUAAAUAAUUUAAGAAUUUCUAAUGGCUCUGAUACCAAACAGACUCCAAAAUCUUAUUUCGUCUCAAAUUCUUAAAUUCUAAAGUUAUCUCAGUAACAUAGAGAAGAUAGUGCUAUAAUUUAAUAAUGAUCUAAGAAGAGAAGUGUAGUAUAAAAAGAUAAAUAGGUGUUAAAAAUGCAUGACUUGUAGUUUCUGCAAAGAAAAUGGUUCUUUGUCAAACUAAAAUUAGAUUCUUAGGCCAUAAUAUCUUCCAAGGCACAAUUAUUCCCAUAGAUAGAGCUAUUGAAUUUUCUACUAAAUUCCCUGAUAUUAUCUUAAAUAAAGUUGAAUUAUAACGAUUCCUAGGAUGCUUAAACUAUAUUUCUGAUUUCAUUAAAGGAAGUUCUAAAAAGCCUAGAAAAAAAAUACCUAGAUGCUAUAAAUGUGGAAAAUUAGGACAUUAUAAAAAUAAUUGUCAGGUAAAGAGAAAGAUAGAAUCAUUAAUAUUAGAUGAAAAUAUAAGAAAUCAAUUAUAUGAAAUUAUUCAACUAUAUGAUAAUGAUAAUAAUAGUAGUACAACAUCUUCCUCAUAUUCGAAAAGUUCUGAUGAAAAAUUAGAUAUAGGAAUAAUAAAAGAUGAAGAUUUAUUAAACGAGACAUCUUCAGAAAACGACAACAAAUGUGCAUGUCAUACUCUUACCAAAGAAAACAAUUUAAUUCUAGAAAUUAUAGAUAAAAUACCUAAUACUGAAGAUAAAAGAACAAUAAUCAGCCAAUAUAUUCAAAUAACAAAAACUAGAAAUAAACCAACUCCCUUAAUAAAACCACUUGAAGAAUAUAGCUUCUCUGAAAUACUUAAACGAAUUGGUAAAAAAGGUAACAGUCAUAAAGAACCUACUAUUGCUGAACUAAAACACGAAGUUAAUGAGGUAAAAUCUGAACUUAAUAAUUUGAAGAAUAGGGUUAAAUUAUUAGAAUUAACUAAUAAAUUAACCGAUAAUCCACCUGAAGAUGAAGAAAUAGAAUUUGAUGAACUAAUCACUAAUACUAGAAUAUUAGAUAAACCUGAAUCUUCAGAAAAUAAACAAGAACCUCAGUUAAAUUUAAUAAAUAAAAUCUUAAAUAAAAAAUGGUAUACCUUAAUUAAAAUAAUAGUUCAGAAUGAAUACCAUUUCCAAUCUAUGGCCUUGAUAGAUUCAGGUGCCGAUUUGAACUGCAUAAACGAGGGAUUAGUCGCUACCAAAUAUUUUAAUAAAACUACGCAAAUCCUAAAUACAGCCGAUGGAAGCAAAUUAAACAUAAAUUAUAAAUUAUCAAAUGCUGCCAUAUGCAAUAAUGGCAUCUGUCUAGAAUUACCAUUUAUCAUGGUCAACGAUUGAAGGAAUAAAAGUAAAAUUCGAAUUUAUUGAUAAACCAAAAAUAAAAGAAAUAAAUAAUAUAAAACAAAAUAUACAAAAUAAAGAGAAAUUUUUAUAUCAGCUCAAAACUGAAAUAAAACAUAAAGCAGUUGGAGAACAACUAUUACUUCUUGAAACGAAAUCAAAAAUUGAAAACCGAAGACAACAAUUUGAAAAAGAAAAUAUGUAGUGAUUUACCUAAUGCUUUUUGGAAUCGACGAAAACAUAUAGUAUCUCUUCCAUAUGAAGAAGGAUUUUUUGAAACUAAAAUUCCAAGAAAAGCCCACCCAAUUCAGAUGAAUUCAAAAAUGUUAGAAAUUUGUCAUAAAGAAAUAACUUCUCUCUUAGAAAAGGGAUUAAUUAGGCCAAGCUCAUCUCCUUGGAGUUGUGCCGUCUUUUAUGUAGAAAAUAAUGCCGAAAAAGAACGAGGAGUUCCAAGAUUAGUUAUUAAUUACAAACCACUAAAUAAAGUUUUAAAAUGGAUCAGAUAUCCAAUUCCUAAUAAAAAAGAUUUGUUAGAUAGACUUGUAAAUGCUUGUAUUUUUUCGAAAUUUGACCUUAAAUCCGGAUACUGGCAAAUACAAAUAAACGAAAAAGAUCGCUAUAAAACAGCAUUUAAUGUUUCAUUUGGUCAAUAUGAAUGGAAUGUAAUGCCAUUCGGCCUAAAAAAUGCACCAUCUGAAUUUCAGAAAAUUAUGAAUGAUGUUUUUAACCCUUAUAUGACAUCUAUGAUAAUUUACAUUGAUGAUGUUCUUAUAUUUUAAACUGAUAUACAUCAACAUUUCAAACAUUUACAUAUAUUUCUCAAUACUGGUAAAAAUGCAGGACUUGUAGUUUCUGCAAAGAAAAUGGUUCUUUGUCAAACUAAAAUUAGAUUCUUAGGCCAUAAUACUCUAAGGGUAAAACAUAAAGAAGAAAUAGUUAUUGAAAAUGUUGAACAACAUACUCAAAACUGGAACAUACCAAAGGUCCCAAUAACAAACGUAUAUAAAAAAGAAAAUUUUAAUCUAAAAAUUGUAUAUGCCAUCAAAACUGUUGAACAAAGUCCACCUGUUCAAAAUGAACAAGAAAAUCUUCAGCUCUUAACAAAUAAAAUUGUACAAUCUCAUAAAAAUAAAGAAAAUCAAUACCAUACAUAUAUUACAGACCAACAAAAACAUAUUCGAAGUAUUCAUCCUCCUGAAGAAAGUAUAAACAUCCUAGGAAAAGAUAAGCAAGAAAAAUUAGAAACUAUAGCUACUCCAAGCAAAACACUUCCUGGAGAACACUAUCAUAAAAUAGAACUAUUACCUCAUAUAUUAGAACAAAAUAAUUAUACAAAUUUAUAUUUACAAACCAUAGGAAAACAGACAACCACAAGAAAAAAUUGAAGAAAAGAAAAAGGCAAUAUUAUUUAAACCUCAUCCUCUAAUUAAUAAAGAAAGAUUUCAGAUGAAAGAAGAACCUUCUUUUGAAUUAAUGCAACAAUUAAUUACCAAAUUAGCAAGCCUAGAUAUCAAAGAAAAGGAUAAAAGUCAAGAAUCAGUAAUAAGGAUAACAGAACCAGCAGCUAUGAUGUUACAUUAAAAAUGAAUUGAAUCAAGACAUCGUUCAAGCCGAAAGCGAUAAUGUCAAUACCCUCAUAUAUACAAUAACCCUUCACUUUGUUGGAAGUACUGCCCUACUAGAAGCAAGAUCUGAAGACCUCCUUUCUAAUCUUAAAUGUCCAACCCGUUCUCACUAUAAAUGGUAUAAAGAUGUUUUUUUUUCACGACUUCUUAUUCGUGAAGAUAGUAGUUCCAAUCACUGGAAAGAAAAGUUUAUUUCCGGCCUUCCCUAUCUCUUUACUGAAAAAGUCCGCAACCGCCUUAAAACUAAAAAUGGGGGGAUUAUUCCUUAUCAACUCUAUACUCUAGGAAAAUUAUCGGCCGAAAAAUGUGCUAAACGGCUAGCUCUUUGUACUGAUCUAAAACUCAAAAAACAACUUGAUAAACAAAAGAUGACUGGUCAUAAAGAACUUGGUGAUUUUUGUGAACAAUUUGGAUACAAUGUAAAUAUUUCCCAAAAUAAACCCCAUAAAAGAAUAAAACAAGAAAAACGACAAAAAUCAUAUAAGAAAAUAAAUACAAAAAAUAUGAACAACCUUUUAAAGGAAGUUCUAAAAAGCCUAGAAGAAAAAUACCUAGAUGCUAUAAAUGUGGAAAAUUAGGACAUUAUAAAACAAUUGUCAGGUAAAGAAAAAGAUAGAAUCAUUAAUAUUAGAUGAAAAUAUAAGAAAUCAAUUAUAUGAAAUUAUUCAACUAUAUGAUAAUGAUAAUAAUAGUAGUACAACAUCUUCCUCAUAUUCGAAAAGUUCUAAUGAAGAAUCAAAUAUAGGAAUAAUAAAAGAUGAAGAUUUAUUAAAUGAGACAUCUUCAGAAAACGACAACAAAUGUGUAUGUCAUACUCUUACCAAAGAAGACAAUUUAAUUCUAGAAGUUAUAGAUAAAUACCUAAUACUGAAGAUAAAAGAACAAUAAUCAGCCAAUAUAUUCAAAUAACAAAAACUAGAAAUAAACCAACUCCUUUAAUAAAACUACCAGAAGAAUAUAGCUUCUCUGAAAUACUUAAACGAAUUGAUAAAAAAGGUAACAGUCAUAAAGAACCUACUAUUGCUGAACUAAAACACGAAGUUAAUGAGGUAAAAUCUGAACUUAAUAAUUUGAAGAAUAGGGUUAAAUUAUUAGAAUUAACUAAUAAAUUAACCGAUAAUCCAUCUGAAGAUGAAGAAAUAGAAUUUGAUGAACUAAUCACUAAUACUAGAAUAUUAGAUAAACCUGAAUCUUCAGAAAAUAAACAAGAACCUCAGUUAAAUUUAAUAAAUAAAAUCUUAAAUAAAAAAUGGUAUACCUUAAUUAAAAUAAUAGUUCAGAAUGAAUACCAUUUCCAAUCUAUGGCCUUGAUAGAUUCAGGUGCCGAUUUGAACUGCAUAAACGAGGGAUUAGUCGCUACCAAAUAUUUUAAUAAAACUACGCAAAUCCUAAAUACAGCCGAUGGAAGCAAAUUAAAAAUAAAUUAUAAAUUAUCAAAUGCUGCCAUAUGCAAUAAUGACAUCUGUAUAAAAUUACCAUUUAUCAUGGUAAAAGGACUUAACCAAGCUGUUAUUCUAGGUACUCCUUUUAUCAGUAUGUUAUACCCUAUUGUUAUAGACCAUACUGGAUUAGAAUCAACGAUUGAAGGAAUAAAAGUAAAAUUCGAAUUUAUUGAUAAAUCAAAAAUAAAAGAAAUAAAUAAUAUAAAACAAAAUAUAUAAAAUAAAGAGAAAUUUUUAUAUCAGCUCAAAACUGAAAAUAUAAAGCAGUUGAAGAACAACUAUUACUUGUUCAAAUGAAAUCAAAAAUUGAAAACCUAAGACAACAAUUUGAAAAAGAAAUAUGUAGUGAUUUAUCUAAUGCUUUUUGGAAUCGACAAAAACAUAUAGUAUCUCUUCCAUAUGAAGAAGGAUUUUCUGAAACUAAAAUUCCAACAAAAGCCCGCCCAAUUCAAAUGAAUUAAAAAAUGUUAGAAAUUUGUCAUAAAGAAAUAACUUAUCUCUUAGAAAAGGGAUUAAUAAGGCCAAGCUCAUCUCCUUGGAGUUGUGCCGCCUUUUAUGUAAAAAAUAAUACUGAAUAUAUAGAUGCAUGGCAUAAAGUGUUUGCAUAUCAAAACCCAAAUAAUUCUCAAACAUGGUUUGUCCAUAUUAAAAUGCCUGUUUUUUAGAGAUUCCUGAGUUGGUUUCGUUAUUGGUUUCUAAUCUGGGGAUCAAGAACUCAGAUAUUGCCUGACUCCUUUAAAAGUGCUCAAACAACAUUUGCUGAAUAUAAUGGAGUUAAUGAUGAUAUAAACUAUCAUCUUUAUUUUAUGGCUAUAUAUCAGAAACCCUGGAUAGUAAAAUGGGAAUAUGAAAUAAAUGAAAAUACUCAUAAUAAUUUGAAUAUAUACCCCGUUUGGGAAAGUGAAUAUCGAUUCGAUGGUGGGAUAUUUUUAGCAUGGACCAAAAUACUAUAAAACCUAAACGAAUACCUCUUGCUGCUCAUGAUUAUCAAAAUACUCCCAAAAAAUUUGACCCAAAUACUUUCGCCGAAUAUAUAAGACAAAUGUGAAGACAAAACCCUAGAGCAACUAAAGAUGAAUUGGAGAGUCAGUUAUUAAAGAUCAUACAAGAAGAAACCUCAGAAGCCACAUCUCCUUCAUCGGAGCCCAACAAUGACUUCAGCCAAAGACCCGAAGAAGCCCUGCUCAGCCCAGCAAUCUGUAAAGAAUAUCAGCUAUCGUUUUAGACACCUGUCACAUCCUCCUUUCCAGUGAAGCCACCUGUAUAUACAUCCAAAAGAGGUCAACAGAUGGCAUCAGCCGUACGACAGAAGCGACUGAAGUCACUAAUCAAGAUGCCUUCCGUACGAUAUGGCAGACACAAGUUAUUGUUUUUAGUCAUGUCAUGUACAAAAGUUACUUUUGCUUUUUCUUUUAGUCAUGUCAUGUACAAAAGUUAAUUUUUCUCGUGUCAUGUCUCCUUCACCCCUUAUCUUUAAGUCAUAUAUGACUUUAAAGAUUCCUUUCUUCCAUCUACCAUGCCCGCUCACUUUGCCAGCUCACCACUGCUAGAUUCCUUUAUUCUCUUUAUGUCCUCUUCACUCUUUAUGUCUAAUCAAAACAGCUCCAACUCGACACCUUUGCCUGCUCACUCCUGCCUAUAAAACCCUCUCUUCUCAUUUACUUGAGGCAUCGGGAACUUUCACCUAUUCCCCCUCUUUUAAAGCUCCGCCUGCUCUCUCUUGUUUCAUAAGCUCUGCCUGUUUUCUCUCUCUCUAUUCAGAAAGGCUUCAUUACUCUCUACCUGAUCACAUUCCGCUUGACUUCUGCGAAACCUUCAGGCAAGCCUUUCUCAAGUAAGAUCUUUUCAUUACCUUUUAUUUUAUUUUACAGCAAUGUGUGACUGUAAUAUACAUAAGUUACCAUCGUUCUGUCCUGACGAAUGGCAACACUUUUCAAGUUUUUGCCUUUGUAAAUUGUAAGUUGUAUACCGUCUGUAUUCAGUUUCAAUCUGUCUGUACUUUGUAUCAAUAUGUACUUUGUUUGAAUCUGUAUCAAUAAAGAUUGUUCAUAUUAUGCAGUUUAAAAUAACAGUUAGCGUUAAGAUACUAAAUAAUAAUUAUACCACGUGGAUAAUAUUAGAUAUCUCUGUUAUUUCAUUCAUUAUUAUUCUAUUUAUCUUUUUAUACUACACUUCUCUUCUUAGAUCAUUAUUAAAUUAUAGCACUAUGUUCUCUAUGUUACUGAGAUAACUUUAGAAUUUAAGAAUUUGAGACGAAAUAAGAUCUUGGAGUCUAUUUGGUAUUAGAGCCAUUAGAAAUUCUUAAAUUAUUUACUGUUAGACUACUUUUAGCCAAUAAUAGUGUUUAUGAGAUAAGAUUGAGAUAAUAUAUAUAUAUAUAUAUAUAUAUGAGAUGAAAGAAGAAAGAAUGCGUGUGGGGCAAGACCUCCCUUUAGAGAGGAAAGACCUUCCGAUAGAUAUGCAUCCUUCCUAUGGAGAAAAUCUCUUAGAGAAAAGACAACUUCUGAUGGAGAGGCCUCUUUCCCAUGGAGAAAACACUACUAUGGAGCGUCUUUUAGGCAAGGCCUCCCUUGUGCCUCAUUUUAUUGUAGUGAAGCAAUUUUCAUGCAGAUUUUGGGUCUUUUAGUGAGAGAAAGUCUCGGUUGUAGAGAUUGGGAUGCUGGUUAUUUCUAGAAAAGCAAUUCCCAUGCAAAUUUUUAGUCUUUUAGUGAGAGAAAGUAGCGGUAGAGAGCUCGGUUGCUCUCAAGGUUGUAGAGGUUGAGAUGCUGGUUUUUUUUAUAGAGAAAUGGUUCCCAUGUAGAUUUUGGGUCUCUUAGUGAGAAAAAAUCUCAGUUGCUCUCAAGGAUGACAAUAGAAUAUAGAUGGGUCUUCUCUUGAACAAAUUUUGGGUGGUUUCCCUUUUUAGUGAGAGAAAGUUCUUUUUUAAUGAGAGAAAUUCUUGAUUACUCGACUCUCAAGGUUGACAGUAAUUUAGUUUUGGAAUAGAGAUAUGUCUCUUCCUGGAUAGUGGUUGUGCUAUGGAAUAGGGACAGUCUCUUCCUGAACAUUCCUAGACAGUGGUUUAGCAGUGGAAUGAUUUUAGGUUCCUGAACUUUCCUGGAUAAUUGUUUAGCUGUGGAAUGAUUUUGGGUUGCCACCCCUUUUAUUGAGAAAAAGUCUCCCCUUUUAGUGAGAGAAAGUCUCGGUUACUCGGUUCUUAAAGUUGACAGUGGUUUAGCAAUGGAAUAGAGACUGGUCUAGAGAUAGUAUCUUCCUGGACAGUGGUUUAGCUGUAGAAUAAAAGCGGUCUCUUCUUGGACAACGAUUUAGCUAUGAAAUAGAGAUAGGUCUCUUCUUGAAUAGUGGAUUAAUUAUGGAAUAGAGAUGGGUCUCUUCUUGGACAGUGGUUUAGCUGUGGAAUAGAGAUUGUCGGGGAUACCGGUUGAGAGAGCAAGUCUAAAAGGGUUUUGCUCAAUUGGAUUUUGUCGAGGGUUAAAGAUGUAACUAUAUGUCCCAAAAUAUUUGAUAUAAUUUUCAUUUGGCAUUGAUAUAGUGGAUUUCAAUUUGCGAUGCCUGUGGAUAUUUUCUUUCAGGGUGAACCACGUAAAUCUAUCUUUGAUGUAACUUUCAUUAGCAUUGGUAUAAUGGAUUUCAGUUUGUAGUGCCUGUGGAUGUAGCCCUUCUAGCUGAACCACAUAAAUCUUUAUGUUCUUGUGGCAUGUGUGUUUGAUGCUUUAUUUCUGGUAUGCAUUAUUUCUCAUAUUAUAACUCAUACUCUCGCUUAUUUUAUUUCUAGCUAGAGUAGUCUCACCUAUUUUAGUUCUAAUUGGUAUGCUUUAUUUCUUGUAUCAUGAUUCGUACUCUCACCUAUUUUAUUUUUUAGCUGGACUACACUUGCCUAUUUUAUUUCUAACAGGAUUUUCUAGCAGGAGUACUCUAGCCUAUUUAAUUUCUAGAUAGAAAGUAAACGAUCUUGAUGGAUCUAACUUUUUAGGAUUCGUCUUUCCACAUCUAAAAGGGUUAUUAAAUCCUAACAUAUAAGGGGCGAAUUGAAGUGGCCAGACAACUUGAAUGAAGUGGUUAGACAACUUAAAUCUAAAGUUGAGGUAAUUUGGAAGAUCCAACUUUUGAGUUUUCUCUUUCUGCAUCUAAGAAGGUUAUUAAAUCCUAAGUUAUAUGGGGCAAAUUGGAGUGGUCAGACAACUUAAAUAUGAAGUUGGGGUAAUUUGGAAAAAAAAAAACAAUUAAAAUAGGUAUGCGGGUAAUAUUUCUAACUAGUAGAAGGUUUUAGUAAUGAGGAGUAAUCAAAAGGGGUAUGGACAUAAUUUUCUCUUAAAAAAAGCAUAAUUGGAAUCAAAAGGGGUACGGACAUCAUUUUCUCUUAAAAGAAAGUAUAAUUGUGAUGAUAUGUGAAGAAUUAAGAUAAAUAGUCAAAAUAUAUUUGAAAUAAACUGUUUUAAACUUUAAAAAAAUCUAUUUUUAUCUUUCAUUGAUCGCGCGUAUUGAUAUGAUCUAUCUCUAACAACAUGGAUUAUGGAUGAGAUUGUGAGGUGCUCCAGCACUAGAACCCCAUCUGCAUAAAUAAGCUCAGUAAGCUCCUACCUCCAAGGUUUGGGACGGGGAAAGAUUGAAGGAAAAGUGCACAAUUGCCCUUCAACGGUUGACAUUUAAUCUGGGAAGAUUUAAGGGCUACAAAUUGAUUUUAUUUUUUUGUGUUUAUAUUUGCAAAUUAUCUUAUAGCAAAAUUGAGUAUCACGUUCAGUUUUAUAGGACGUAUCUAAUUGAAAAAUAAGAAAAAAGAAAAAGGAAAUUAAACAAAAGAAUGACUGAAAUAUCCCUAACUGUUGAGGGGUAUUGUAGUUAAUUUUCAUUGAGAUUAUAUUUUUUAAUUUUGGGCACGUGUACUACGAUCCUGCAGGACUAUACUGUGCUUUAUUCCCUCACCCAAACACCUAUUUAGGAAGAUUUUCAAAGUCUAAAAUUUUGUGAACUGCAUAAUAAUUACUAGAUGAUUAUUUUCAAAAGAAAAAAAUUGAAUUUUGAGUUUUGUGACUCUUAGAUCUAACCCUUCAAAGGAUGGUAUUAAUUCAAUCUUGAGGCACUAGUUGUUUUUAGCACCUAGGGAGUUUAUAUGGAUUUUUUUUAUAAUUAAGAUUAGUUUAUGAGUUGUGGAGAUCACAUCCCCAAAAUUUGAGAUCUAAAAAAUAUUCAUAGCAUGUGUUUUCUCCAAGGGACUGAAUGGAUAGUAUACUCCUAAGCGAGAAUGGAUGUCAUUUGGGUUUAAUUUUUAAAGAGGUGCAUGAUUUUUAAAUGUAUGAGGAUGCCGCAAUUGUCUGAGUGAAAAAUAUUUGCAAUUGAAUAAAGUACAAAGGGAAAGUAUCUCCAUACUUUCUACUUUUAGGUUUUAUUUCACAAUAGAUCUAAGGUUUUAAAAGAUAUAUUGAGGUAUAAAAAUUAUAGAUUUUAUUUCUUCUAAUCCACUGAACUAAUUCAAACAUGUUUUUUUAGGCCAAACAAAUCUAAAAGGGAAAAGUUUAUAUAGAGCCGAGGCUCUAAACAAUCAAAUUUGAGCCUACCUAAAAAUUACCCUGGAAGACAUUGUUUUCAUGCUCAAAUAUCCUCAAAUUCAUUGUCUCGACAUCAAGAUGCAUGGGUAUGAGAAAAAAUUGGAUUUCAAGUUUUAAAAAUUAUGUAUUUUGUAAUACAGUUUUGGACCGUCAAUUUUUAAGAUUUUCAAGUUUUCAUAGACCUAUUGAUCUACACUAUUUUUGAAGCUUUAAACUUUAUAAAUAAACAUGAAAAUAUAUUUGAUGGCUAUCACAAAUAUUUUCAAUAUUGAAACUAUAUUUCUCGACACUAUUAAAAGGUAGCCUCUAAUUUGAUUGUUUAGAGUUUAAGCUAUGUACAAACCACACCCAAUUUAAAAAGACAUGUCUUUCCUAUAAGAAACGUACAAAGCAAACUUCCUAGCAUCCUAAGUUUUUUGAAAAGGGACAAAGCGAAUUUUGCGUUCUCUUUUCUAAAAGAAAUGAAACCUAAAAUUAAAUUAUAUGAAGAUAUUUUCUUUAAAAAAUUCAAUUUCUAAACUUAUAAUAAGCCAAAUUCUAUGUGAGCCAUUAAAAAGGAUUCAAGCGUCCACUUCACGUGGUCAAUUUAUAUGGUGCACAAUCCAGACACCGUGUCAUCAAUUAACCGGCACCGGCUGUGAUAUUUGCACAUCGUACACAUAUUUGUCCACGCUCACGUUAGUGUAUCAUUCAUUCGGAUCGGAGAAUCAGCCGUUUCGGCCUUCCAAAAAAUUUAUGUAGUUAUUAAAAAUAUCUAAAAAUAUUAUUUUUUGAAGGUGAAAUCUUUUUUGAGAAGUUACAUUGUGUACUUUAACUAUUUGUAAAAAUAUAUGAAUAUUGAGACAUUGUUUCUCUAUUUGAAUAUAUGGAUAAUUAUUAAUCAUAAUAUAAUAUUAUAAUAUUGCAUCAAAUGAUUCAAAAAAUUAAAAAACACUUCUAUAUUAUAAAAUUAAAAAUAAUAAUAUCUCUAAUAAAAUGAUACUAGUAUCACUUCAAAAUAUUUAUUGAUUAUCUUUACUCAUCUAAAAUUAUCACAACAUAACUAACUAUAAUAUUAUACACUGAAAAUAGAAGUAUUGAUUUACAUUUUAUAAUUAUUUUAUAAUUCAAAUGAUAAUAAUUUUAAAAUUUGUUUUACAAUGUCAUUUCAUUUAAAAAAUCUUAUUUACAACUAUAAAAAAAAAAAUACAUUGUAUUAUUUUUAAUGCAAAUAAAUUAAAUAAAAUAUAAGAUUUGGUUAUCAAUCAUAAUUAUUAAUUAUAAUAUUAUAAUAAACAUGAUUCAAAAAAUAUUAUAAAACAUUUUCAUAAAAGACUCAACCUUUUUUCGCAAGAAAUGGACGUUUCAAGGAGGGUAUUCAGCCUAUAAUCAAUGUAGCUAAUCCAUUGCUUCAAGUAUUUUUUGUUUGAAUGAGCCUUUUUCUUUUUUUUAUAAAUUCAUUGAAGAGUUUGUGAAUUCCUUUCAUAGCUCCAAUCCGGGAAAAGCACUUGAGAGAAAGGGACAAAAUGAAAUUCCCGGCAUCGUAAAUUCUUAGAAGCUAACAUUAUUAUAAAGGAAAAAGUUUAUAUAGAGCAGAGGCUCUAAACAAUCCAAUUAAAUCUCAUUUCAAAAAUUUCACUAGAAGAAGUUGUUUUGAUGCCUAAAUAUCCUCAAAUUGAUCAUCUCGACAUCAAGAUUCAUAGACAUGAGAAAAAAAUGGAUUUCAAAAUUUGGAAUUAUUGCACAUCAAAUUUUCCAGAUUUUCAAGUUUUCAUAGAUCUGCUCGAUCUAUACUAUUUUUGAAGCUUUAAAUUUUAUAAUUAAAAAUAAAAAUAUAUUUUAAAGCUAUCACAAAGAAUUCCAUUAUUGAAAUCAUAUUUCUCUAUACGAUUUAAAAGUGCACUUUAGUUGGAUUGUUUAUAGCCUCAGCCUCUAUAAAAACCUCACCCUAUUAUAUUUAUAAUAGAACGUAACUACAGCUAGUCUAAGAGCCUCCCAUGCAUGAGGAGUGUAUUGUCUUGGUUCUUUAUGGGUGGUACCCGCAAUGGUGGGCCCAAGGGGUAUUUUAUAAAGUAUCUACUAGGCGUCAAUUUUUUAAGAAAUAAAACUUGAAGACCAUGGAACCCCAUUUCACUACGAUAGGAUGGUUACGGAUUAGACGAUUCUGAUUUGAAUCGGUGAUAUUUUAAAUUUUGGUUUGGAACUCCUUUUUUUUUUUUAUGUAAGUCGAUGUAUAUAAGUCAAUGGGGGAGAAGCCCCCCUACCCAUUUUUUAUUAAUAUGUAAAAAUAAUGAUGAUUACACCUUAUUCCAUAACAACCAUGGAAUAGGGCACCUAUGACAAAUCAUGAAGUAAAGCAAGAGAAAUAAAGUCAGGUGGACGUGAACGCCAAAUGGUAGCUUGUAAAAGAGAUGUGGCAUUCUUUGCAAGAAUAUCGGCCACCAUGUUGACUUCAUAAAAAAUACGAAAAAUGGACCACCUACGAUUUGAAAGAUGUUGCCUACAAUUUACUGCAAUCGUAUAUAACUUCAAAAGAGACCAACAAUGUUCAUGAAUAACAUUAAUGAGUAAAGCUGAGUCACUUUGAAUUUGAAGAGGAAAAUUACUUUAGCUGAAUGGCUAGAACCAAAUCUUCUUCAAGAGCGGAGAAUUCCGCAUAAUUAUUGGAAGCAAUUCCAAAAGGUUUUGAGAACGUCGCAAUAAAAGCAUCAUCACGAUCUCUAAUAACACCACCCACACCUGUUGAACCUACGUUAUGCAAGGAGACCCCAUCAAUGUUUAACUUGAAAUGAUUAGGGCUAGGAAAUGACCAAUCCGCCAAGACAACCAACUAAUCCCUCUGUUGAUUCCAAUUGACUUGUAGAUUAUCAAUAAUUGCUUUUUCUAAGACAUGAAAUGCCCAGGUUUAGCAUCAGCUACCUCUCGAACAUGAGAAAUGAUCUGUCAAAGCAAUUAUUCCCUCCUGAUUAAUCUUGAUUGGAAAACUCUUUUAUUGUGCUCCGCCCAUAAAACCCAAACAGUUGUGAAGAAUAGAGUCAAACAUUGAAAAAACCAUUGGAUUUGAAUAUGAAAGAUAACCAACUUCUCAACAUAUUGAGAAUAGAAGAUCCAGAAAUAAAGCAUUGACCGCAAUGCUAUACUAGAGAUCUCCAUAUUGCCUGCGAGAAAUCUCAAAGGAAUAGUGAAUCAAUGGUUUUGAUUGGUGAAUCGGACCUAUUCUCUGGUGUGAGCAUAAGUCCAUAAAAACAAAAAGAAAAAUAGAAAAUAAUAAUAAAAAUAUAAUGUGUGGAAUCGGGCAAUCUGGUUGGUCUAGAUCGAGUUCCUGAUGGACACACCUGGUUCUCUAAUGGAACCUAGCGAGUCCAUAAGAACUGGAUUGACUAUCGACAAUGACAAGGAACUAGUUUUAGCGGUGGGAAUUGGUCGAGUUGGGUCCCCAGACCUAGUUCAGGUCUGGGUAAGGUCCAAGUCAAUUGGACCCAAAACCAAUCCACAUGGUCAUUAGGAAAACGAAAAAAGAUAAAUAUUAUUUAGUCAAUAAAAAAAAAAGAAGGAAUAGAGUUAAACAUCCUUUUUUUAUAUAGAAAUAGGACCUACACCCUUAUCUCCAAAAUUAUCAUCCAAAAUACGCCCCUAGCCAAUAAAAACCCAUAAAACCACUUUAAAUUAAAUGAAUAAGAUAUUUAACACCCUCCUUAUCUAUUUUAUUGUCCACAUUACUGUAUGUCUUUUUAAUUGGCCUCAUCAUAUAAAUGGAGUUUGUGAUGCAUCUUUUAACAUACUUGUGAGGUUCACGAGAUGAGAGAAAGAGACAUGUUUUUCAUAGAAAGUUGUUAAAGAGAUAGGGAGGUAGAGGUUCACAAGUGAGGAAGUGAGAGCAUUUCCAAGGUUCACAUUAAUUGGUGAUUAAAAAAAAAUAGAAGUAAAUAUUGUAAUUUGGACAAUAGAAAAAGUAAGAAGAGGCUUAAACAUCUUGUUUUUGAUAUCAUGAGUAGCUCAUGAUAAAUCAUAAAUAUGGAUAUCAUGAGUAGGUCAUGAUAAAUCAUAAGUAUGGAUAUCAUGAGUAGGUCAUGAUAAAUCAUAAGUAUGGAUUUAUUGCAAAAUAAUUGUAUUUGUAGAUGUUUUUAGCAGCCAAAAGCCUAAGCAAAGAUAGUGCCCUAAAGCCAAAUUAUAAGGACCCUAAAUUCAUACUCUCUUUCCCUUUGUGGUAUUUUAACAAAGGGUGUGAUUUGCAUCAGGUUGCAAACUUAAACAAUCAAAUUAAGGCGCACCAACAAGUUUUAUCCUAAGAUAUAAUUUUAGUUUAAAAAAUUCUUAGAAUGGCAUGAGAAUCAAUUUUCAUCUCUAAUUAUAAUAUUUUAAACUCUAAAAAUGUUUCAAAUCAAGUAGAUCUAUAAACACAUAGAAAUCUUCAAAAAAUAGAUGGCCCAAAUAAUAUGUUGCAAGAUGCACUAUUUUUUCAGGCUCAAAUUUUUUUCCUUUUUCUUUUUGUCAUAUUCAAUACAUCUUGAUGUCAAGAUGAUAACUCAAAAUUUUUUCAAUAUCAUAAUAACUUUUUUCGAUAUAUUUUUUAGGAGCACCUUAAUUCUACAUUUUAAUGUUGCAACCCGAUAUAAAUUUUUACCUUUAACAAAUGGUUUAAAUAUAGAGAUUGUAUACAAUGAGACCAUUUACCUUUGGUAUAUGAAGGUCACACUUACUUACAACAAUCCAAUGUAAAAUCUGAUAAUUUGGGUGUGUCACAAAGUUUCGAAAAUUUUUUUGUUGAACUUUGAACUUGGUCAAUGAAAUAAAUGCAGCCACCCAAUUUCACAUCCAAUGGUUCAGAAUAACUGUGAUUACUUUGUACCAAAGGUAAAUAGUCUCAUUAUAUGCUUUUUAAUAGUCUCAUUAUAUACUUUCCCUUAAAACUAACAUGGACUUUAUUCCCUCACAUCCAUAUGCGUCUCUAGCCAAAUGCCCAUGGUGGUAAAAGCGAGAGAGAGAAAGAGAGAUAUUUUUUGAGCUUGAAAACAAUCUAAACUUUAUCAUUUUCCUUUUUCUUUCUGCUCUUUGAUCUUUGUAUCAAUUAUCAAGCUAGCCGAAAGAUUAUGCGCUCAUGUUUAUGAUGUCAUCUAGGAGUAUGUUUAAGACCUUAAAAUUUAUGGAAAAAUUAUAUUCUACUUACAAAAAAAAUCUCAUUUUACUUGGGGAAAAUCAUGGAUUCCUGAAAUGUAUUUUAUAGAGAUUCAACUCUCCAAUAUUUUUUGUAUCACACUCGUAACCCAAUUACUGUUUUUCUUUGCUUUAAACCCCCAAGUAAAAAAUUUGUAACUUUUAUAAUGAACCUACCCUUUUUAGUACACAUUUCCUCACGUUUCUGUCGACUCACAUGAACACGGCUCGAAGAAAAAAUGGGAGAGCAAGCAAAAAUUCAUAGUGGGAGUGAACUAAUAAUAAAUAAAUAAAAAUGUAAUUUUUGUAUAUAUUUCAUUUGUCAUUUAUUGUCAUUGUAUAUUUGUGAAGGGAUAGUUUGGAUUACACUAAAUAUAUAUUGUAUAUAAACUAUUUUAGGAUUUUAUUAUUGUCAAUGAGAAUUGGCCCCACGUUCCAUUUCUCUCUCUAUCACUCUCUUUCAUCUUUGCUUCUCGAAAUCUAUCAUGGUAUCAGAGCUCUAAAGAUCCGAUUAUUUCUUUGCCCGCUACUGUUCAUGCAAGUUAUUCAUUAAUUCUUUACCCCUAGUUGAACUUUACUUAGAGGCAUAAAAUUUUAUUUUGUGUCCAUGAUAGGAAAUUGACUUAUUCUCGAUAUUUUUCCAAUUUAUUUGUGAUCCAAGUAAUUUUAGAGGUUUCCUUAAAAAAAAAAAAAAUUGAGAGCAUUUACUUCAAAUAUCCUAUCCCCUCAUGGAAUCCAAGAAUAGUACAAAAACUGCUACUAUGUCUGUGCGUCUUGAUGGGAAGAACUACGGAUUGUAGUCAUUCUAGAUGCGACGCUUUCUUAUAGGAAGAAAGUUAUGGGGUUAUGUUGAUGGAUCUAUACGCCAACCUACAGCUGAGAAUGGGCCCAAUGAUUGGUUUGCUAUUGAUAUUUAUAUUAUUACAUGGAUCAUGAAUUCAAUUGAGAAUAAAAUUGGGUGCAACCUCCUAUAGCAACCUAAUGCCAAAGCCAUGUGCGAUUAUUGCGCAACCUCCUAUAUCAACCUAAUGCCAAAGCCAUGUGCGAUUAUUUGAAGAAGAUUUACUCUCAAUAAAAAAUGGCUCGCCUCUAUAUGCGUAAAAAUGAAAGCUUGAAAACACAACAAAGGGAUUCAUCUGUCCAUGACUAUUUCAAUUCCCUUUCAGGCAUAGUGAAUGAGAUGGACUUGAUGAAGACUGAAUCACAUGACAAGGCAGUUACUAAAUCUAGAAAUCAAGCUCGUUUAUUUCAUUUUCUAAUGGGGCUGCGAUCAAAUUUUGAAAAUAUGAGAGCACUCUCCUUGUUGAGGUCACUCGCUUAGGUUAUCAUUGGAUUUGCAAAUCUAAUUCACCAGAUAUUACUGAUGUGGCUUUAGCUAUAUCCAAUGGCUCUAACAAGGAUUUCAACUACGAUCAAGUACUAUGUAAUACAUGUAGACAAAAAGGACACAUAAUUGCACAUUGUAAGAAGCAAAUUUUUUGCAAUUAUUACAAAAAGAUUGGCCAUAUAAUUGCUUAUUGUUAAAAAAGGCCUCACGCUCGUGGAAAGGCUUCUACAAGUGGUUCUACUCAAUUAGCUGCAUUGGCCUUUAUUCCUAGUUCAACCAACAUGGACGAAGUUGUUUCUAUUGACUCCCACUCUACAUCUACACCCACAUCAUCUAUAGUUCCUGUACUCUUUUCAGAGUUUCCCUCUGUUAACUCAAAUACACUUCAACAGCUUACUCAUGCCUUACCUGCCUUGGGUUUUUCAGGUAAUUCAAAUGCUCUUUCAAAUACUUGGAUCAUAGACUCAAAUUCUCUUUCAAGUACUUGGAUCAUAAACGCAAGAAUAUCUAACCAUUUGACAGGACAAAUAUCUCAAUUAUCCUCUGUGACACCUCAUUUCGGUCAAUUGACUUAUUUUACUGCUAAUGAAGACUCUAGAAAUACCAUUAUUCCUGGUCCCUCUGGUGAUUCCUUAUCACUUAAGGAUGUCCGUCAUGUUCCUAACCUUCCUCUCAAUUUGUUAUCUACUUGUCAAUUAGUUGACAAUAAGUGUCUUGUCUCAUUUUCUAAUAAAGGUUGUGUGUUCCAGGAUCAAGCAACAAGGAAGGUGAUUGGGAAAGGCACUAAGAAGGGUCAUCUCUUGACAGUCAACUUCAGCAAGCGCCUUUUCACCUUUCACAGGCCCUAUAUGUUUGCCACAUUUCCCUUUCUUUUCAUGAAAUAUGCCAAUCAAUAUCUCUCUGAUAUGUUUGGCAUUGUAGGUUAAGUCAUCCACACUCUCAAAAAGUGUUAUCCGUUUUGUAUUAUGGGAUGUUAUUUUUCCAAUAAAAAGCUUAAUAAAGAUAUUUUGUGUGAGAGUUGCAAGUUAGCAAAACACUUGGCUCUCCCUUCCCCUCGUAGUAAUAAUAAAAAGUACCAGCCAUUGUUUUUUAGUGUACUCUGAUGUGUGGGGGCGUGCUCCUGUUCCUUCGAUUAGUGAUUUUUCUUAUUAUGUGAGAUUUAUUGAUGAUUCUUCAAAGUACACAAGGGUUUAUUUUCUCAAACACAAAUCAAGUGUGUUUAAUGUUUUUCAAUACUUCCAUAGCAUGAUUAGAAAUCAAUUUAAGAAAAAUAUUAAAGUCUUUAGGUCAGAUUCAAGGGAGGAAUACCUAUCCAAGGAAUUUCAGGCAUAUCUUAGUACAAAUGACAUUUUACAUCAACGUUCAUGCCCUAAUACCCCUGAACAAAAUGAAGGUGUCGAAAGUAAGCAUCAUCAUAUCUUUGAAAACAACUAGUUCUCUUCUUAUAAGCUUUCAUUCUCCUAAUAAUAUGUGGGCUGAAGCAAUCUCCACUGCUGCGUAUCGUGUUAAUCUUCUUCCUACUCCUGUUCUGCACAAUGUUUCACCUUUUCAUAAGUUUUUUCAAAAUUACCCUGAUUACUCACACUUACAAGUGUUGGGUGCACUUGUUUUGUUCUUCUACCCUCUCUUGCACGAGAUAAACUCUCAUCUAAGUCUGUCAAAUACAUGUUUGCGGUAUACAACUAAUCAAAAGGGGUAUCGUUGCUUUGAUCCCACCAUUAAUUGUGUGAGAAUCUCACAACAUGUUUUUUUUUUCUUUUAAAUAUAUCUUUUCAUCAACACUAUUUACACCCUACUACACCCACAUGUCCACCUGAUUUUUUAAUCCUCACUGGAUUCGACAUUCCUAGUCCUCAAGGCUGUAACUCCAAUGAGCCAACUCUUCCUAGUACUGAUCAUCUACCACCUCCAAUUGUUGAUCUACCCAUUGUCUCUCAGCAACUUUGGCAGUCUCUUUGUAAGUUUGUUCCUUCUGAUUGUCUUAACUUGCUAGUGGUUUGCUUAUCUCAUACAUGUUUUCCAACAAGCACUCCUAACCCUUUUUUUCAUGUGUCAUCCUCUUAUUCUCAGGCAUUUAAACUUUAAUGUUGGCACAUGGCCAUGAAUGAGGAAAUCACAGUUUUAGAGGUGAACCACACUUGGGAUUUAGUUCCAUUGCCCCCUAACAAGCAUGUCAUUGGUAGUAAAUGAGUUUAUAAGAUUAAGUUAUGAGCUGAUGACACCCUUGAGCGGCACAAAGCACAAUUAGUUACAGAAGAUUAUACUCAAGAAUAUGGUAAUGAUUAUGAAGAAAAUUUUGCUCCUGUUGCUAAGAUGACUACAAUUCGUACUCUUCUUGCACUAGCAUCAAUUCGUGACUGGCCUAUAUUGGCAGAUGGAUGUUAAAAAUGUUUUUCUUAAUGGAGAGCUUCAAGAUGAAGUUUAUAUGCACCAACCACCUGGAAUUUGUUGUUAUACCUGUGUUUGCUGCUCUAGAUACAUCAUUUCUGUCGACUUCGUAAUGUAAUUUAUGGUCUUAAACAACUUCUUUGUGCAUGGUUUGAGCAUUUUAGGGAUGUCAUUCUUGCAACUGGUUUUAUUCAAAGUAAACAUGAUCACUACAUGUUUAUUCAUACCACAGACAUGACAUUUGUAUUAUCUUACUAUAUAUUGAUGAUAUUCUCAUCUCUUGAGAUGAUUACACUUCCAUCAAAGAUAUGAAGCUACGAUUCCAAAAAGAAUUUCAAAUGAAAGACCUUGGGGAAGUAUCUUACUUCCUUGGCCUUGAGAUCGCUCGUUCUAAACAUGGUAUUUAUAUCCAUCAACAGAAGUAUGCAAUUGAUCUUAUUCCAGUUCCCGAUUGACUGAUGUGAAGGUUGUAGAUACACCCAUGGAGCUUAAUGUUAAAAUUUCUGCGCAUUUUAGAGACCCUCUUCCUGUGCCUACAAUGUAUCGCAAACUCGUAGACUCCCUCAUCCAUCUCACUAUGACAUACCUAGAUAUUAAAUAUGAUGUCUACGUUGUAAGCCAGUUUGUUUUAGAUCCUUGAUGACUACAUCUAUCAACAAUCCAUUGAAUUUUAUGCUAUGUUCAAGGUACUUCCAUUCGUGGAUUAUUUUUUACCUUCACAUCUUUUUUUAGAUCUCAGCGCAUAUGCAGAUGCAGAUUGGACAGGUGAUUCAGACACUUGUCGCUCUACUACAGGAUAUUGUGUAUUUCUUGGAUCCUCCUUGAUAUCAUGGAAGAAUAAGAAACAAGAUAUUGUCUCUAAGUCAAGCACUGAAGCUGAGUAUCGUGCUCUGUCCUUUGUUAUCAGUGAGAUUAUUUGAGUUUGUGCUCUUCUCAAUGAUUUUGGUAUCACUAUUUUCAUAUCCCACACCUUUAUAUGCAAAUAACCAAAGUGCGAUUAAAAUUGCAUCUAAUCCAGUCUUUCAUGAGAGGACAAAGCAUAUUAAUGUGGAUUACCAUUAUGUUUGUGACAUCUAUCUUGAUGGCAUAUUAUCUGUCCAUUAUGCGUGUUCUACUAUACAAACGACUAAUAUUUUGACCAAAUCAGUUACUCGAAAACUCCAUGAUUUUCUCGUGGACAAGAUAAUGCUUUCCUCAUGUCCGCAUCAGCUUGACGGGGUAAUAAUAAAUAAAAUUGCUACCUUUUUUAAUAUUUACGAAGUGGCCUUAGGGAUUAAGGUUAAUUUUGCGAAGUUGGAUGUAGUUGGUAUUAAUUGUGAUGAAUCCUUAUUGGCCUGAAUGGCAACUACCCUAGGUUGCAAAGUAGAGAACUUCCCUAUCUUGUACUUGGGGCUGCCUAUUUUAGAUGGGAGGUUACCUAUGGGUGUAUGGGAUAAAGUAAUCCAAAGAAUUCAAAUUAAACUUGAUUUAUGGAAGUAUAAAGACAUCUCUUUUGGAGGUAGGAUUACCUUGAUUAAAGCUUGCCUCUCAAAUUUAUCGAUCUAUCAAAUGUCCUUGCUGCAGAUUCCUCACAGGGUGGUCAAGAAGAUUGAAACUUUGAUGAGAAACUUUUUGUGGAGCUCUUUCGACAACUCUUAAAAUGUUGCACUUCUUGCGUUGGGAUAGGGUGUGUACCCCUACGAUGGAAGGUGGACUAGGCUUAAGGCGAGUUACUUUGUUUAACUAAGCACUUAUGUCUAAGUGGUGGUGGAGAAGUUUGAUCCUUAAAGACCAGUUGUGGUACAAAGUUGUUGCUGCAAAAUAUGGGGUUGAUCGAUUUCAGAUGUGAUUUGGAGGUAGAAGUGGUACACAGGCGAUGUCUUCUCUCUGGAAGCACAUUCAUUCGUGUAGGGCGCUGAUUCACAAGGAUGUCCGGUGGUCCUUGGGUGAUGGUUGUAGCAUCUCUUUCUAGCACCACAAGUGGGUUGGAGAUGUGCCUUUGAAGCUUCUCUUUCCCGUUGUUUUUCGACGUAUGGUUAACCUCAAUGCUGCUGUCACUACUGUGUUUGUACGCAGGGGUUGCCAGGUGAGUUGGAACAUUUCUCUCCCCUAUAGUAGGAUUCCCGAUGCUGUUUUUCAGGAAUUCGUUGGGCUGCUUAUCCUUCUCCAUCAGGUCUAUGUUCCACAUAAUGCCUCCGACAUAGACAUUUGGAAGAUUCAGUCCGAUGGACAGCACUCAGUUAAGUCCAUGCAUAACCUCUUGUUCUGUGACCACUAGCAUUGGUCGAUGCCUCAGAUUGCCCUAAUCUGGAAAUGGCCUUUCCCUUUAAAGAUACAAGCUUUCCUUUGGCUGGAAGUACAAAAUAAGGUUCUCACUGUUGACAACCUUAUCAAGAGAGGUAAGGUGUUGCCUAAUGUGUACUUAUUGUGUAAAUUGGAUGCUGAAAUAGGGCCACACCUCUUUCUUCAUUGCGCUUUCACUUUUUGAAUCUGGUGCUGGUUUUUGAUGAACUUGGUCUUGCCUUGGUGAUGCCUGCUGAUGUUCUUGGGAUCAUCUCGAUUUUGUCGGCUCCCCUUCCGAAGGCUAGCAUGAUCUUACGGAAGAUGACAAGAUGUGUAAUUCUCUGGGAGGUUUGGAAGGAAAGGAACCGUAUUUCGAUAAUGUCAACCUACCUUUUGCGAAGGUGUUGGACAAUAUUCUUCAUGGGUUGUGGCUCUUCUGCUCUGUGUCGAAGGAUCGAUCCAAUAUGUUGGAAAUUGAUGUCAAGAGGAACCUUUCAAUCCUCUUUCGUCUAAGUGUUUUCAAAAGUAGACCGACGCGUAGAUGGAUGCCCCCCUUGGAGGGAACUUUUAAACUCAAUUUUGACGGAAGCUCUUUGGGAAAUCUUGGUCCGGCUGGCAUUGGAGGUGUUCUAAGAGACUGAAAUGGUACGGUGGUGUUCUCUUAUGCUGGACCCCUUGGGGAUAGAACGGCCAACUAUGCGUAGAUGCAGAGCCUUCUUCAUGGCUUAAAGAUCUUCAUUGAAAGGCAACUAGGCCGGUUCUGUAUUGUGGAGGGGGAUUCACUGAACGUCAUUAAUUGGUGUAAUGGAACUCAUAGACCCCCCUAAGAGCUUAGGUUCACCUUGCUGCAGAUCUGGGAUUUGUCUAGGACUCCUGAUACUUCGUUUGUGCAUGUUUUUCGUGAGGCUAAUGUGCUAGCCUAUCAUUUUGCAAAAGGUAGUUCGACCCUUACGUCUUUUUUAUCUUCAGAUACUGUAAUAUCUUUCUAGCUUUUGAUUAAUACAAGUACCGAAUUUCUCUCAAAAAAAUAAUAAAUAAAAUAAAAUGUAAUUUUGUAUAGCUUUCAUUUGUCCUUUAUUGUCGUUGUAUAUUUACGUAGGGAUAGUUUGGUCUACACUAAAUAUAUAUUGUAUAUAAACCCUCUUAGGGUUUCAUUCUUGGUAACGAGAAUUAGCCCUACAUUUCAUUUCUCUAUCUAUCUCUCCCUUUCAUCUUUGCUUCUCGAAAUCUAUCAUGAACAAGAACACCAAAACUUGAUGGAUAUUUGCGAACUAGGCAUAGAGUCACAAAACCCCAAAAUAUGAGGCUAGUAUUUGGGGCAAUGUGUCGAUGGGGUUCGAGGGUUAUUUCUAGUCAAGGUUAGCAAGUAUACCUUAUGAUCGUUUAACAACUAUGGCAGACUGUUAAGUAUUUCUGAGUACUUCGAAGUAACUAUGAGAAUUAUGUGAAAUGCUAUGGAGCAAGUAUUUGAGAGAACUAUUGUUAGCUCAAGUAUAUCUAAGUAUUACUGUCGCCUUUGCGCGUAGGCUAGGCUUUAAGAUGCCAUAAGCCAAACUCUUUGACCUCGAUGUAUCCCAUAGUGUGUCCAUAGAUAGUUGCAAAUGGAAACCCCUCUUUUUGGUCAUGAUAAAAAAAAAAUGAUGUAUGCACUUAUGGUAGAGAGGGAACCGCACAUCUAAAAGAUUGGGACAAGAUUGCAUGUCCCAAGGGGUCUACAUGUAAUUCACAAUAAUUAGAAUUUGGUCAUCUAUAGUAUUUACUUUGACAAGUUGAGCAUGAACGUCUGUUAGAGAUAGUGGGUUAUAGAUCUUAUUGAAUUAGUUUAAGAAAAAUGGAUUAGGGUUAUGCAACUAGCCGAGUCGAGUGCUUAAUUGUCCGAUUCUAUUUCCUACAUGAUCUUACGUUCUUAAAAUAGUUAUAUUUGAUUGAAAAUUGAUUUAAAUUGAUGAAAUAAUCUUGAACAUGAAUUCUGGUGAUUUUUAGGAAUUUAAUGCAAUCUUAUUGGGGGGAAUUUGGGUUUAAAAAUUUUUCUUUAGGAAAUUUCAUCCUAAGGACAUAACUUCAACAUAGGGCUCAAAUGGCCAAUGGGCCCCACAUCUGACUGGCCAAUGUUGCGCCACAAGGCAAGCAUGUGGCCCACACGCAGAUGACGUUUGAUGACACUAGCCCUUGGUAGAGCGUAGAUAUGUUGUGUUUGGUUGAGCAUUUUAUUUGUAAUAUGUUUAAUUUUGUCUUUGUGACUUUCCUUUUAUUUUUAGCACGGUAUUGUAACUCACACAUAUACACAUUGGUACAUGUGGGUACCAUCUAGGCUUAGAUAUAUAUUUUUUAGUAAUUGGGUUUAUUUGAAUUUAAAAUUUUAAAAUUAAAAAGAAAAUUCCUUUUUUUUUUUGAAAAUUUAAUUUGGAUUAAAGUCGAUAAGGUGGUAAAAUCACAUUCACACAUCAUCAAAUGUAAUUAUGCGAUAUGAGGCUAGGAUUAAAGCCUCUCUCUCACAAUAGCUCACAAAGAUCAAGAUGGGUUCUACACACUCCCUAGAGAACCAUAUAAAACUUCAUUAAUCCUAAACUCUUUCUAACACUAAAUCAUUUUUCUCUAGCCCCCGCAUUGAGAUAAGAGAGGGCUAAGAGAGAGAAGAGAGAAAAGUGGAUGUUCCUCCCUUGGUGAGUCUUACAAGGCCAAGCCAUGUAGCUACAUUGAGUAUGGUGAUAUUGGUAAUCCAUAGCAACCAAAGGAAGUUAUCCUCACAUCGUUUUGAUGCAAAACAAAAUUAAAAAUAAUAGUAAUUAAAUUUUCAUAUUUUGUAAUUUUUUGAGUUUUUUUUUUUUUAGAAUUUAGUUAGGGUGUUGAAGGUAUGAAGUUACACCGAUUUAGUGUGGUUUCUGUAAAAUGGAGCUUGGGGGAGAAGAUGAUGAGGUGGAUGGUAGGUUUGAUUGUUUGGGAGCUUCUAUCAUUCAGGUGAGGAAUGACCUUUCAUCCGGCCUCCUUGCAGGGGCUGGAUUCUCUGUUGUGGGCUCCUUCUCCCUACCAGCUAAUGAUAUUUUUGGUCUGAGUGAUUGGGCUUGGAGGGGAUGGGGUUUAUCUUAUGCUCCGCUUGUUAAAAUUUUGGGAGACAACAAAAUAGCCUUUUUGCUGCUAUCAAAAGAGGAUGCUUUUGUUGCUCUUUCCAAUAGGUUUUUUAGGAUUCGGGGCAAGUUGUUUUCCUUGGAUUUAUGGAAACCUUCUACCCAUCUAUCCUAUAUGCAGAAAGAGAGUCUUUGGAUCAGCCUUUCUGGUAUCCCAUUCCAUGCUUGGACUCUGGAUACAGUCCGAAGAUUGCAAAUUGUUGUGGGGAAUUUUGCGAUGUUGAUAAUGACUCUUUUGUGGGGAUUGAUGUUAGAGUUGUUAGAGUAUGUAUAUGGAAACUCAUAGCGAUGUCUAUCCCCAAAGUUGUAAGACUGGUUGUGGGGCAAGAGUCUUUGCCAUUGGAGUCUCUUCGAUGGCUACAAAAAAGCCACGUAUGCCUAAACCUGUGACAGAGGAAGGAUGGAAGGAGGUUCAUCAUCAUUGACCUCAUGACUAUUUUUUUUUUUUUGGGCAGCUCAAUGGAAUUUUCUGCAGAAGCGUGACCACUGAAAUUUUAUGAUAGGAGUUACGAAUUUUCGAAAUUUGAAAAUUUGGAAAAGAUGGAUACCGGUUGGCCGUUCUGGGAAAUUCCGGCGUCUUAUCCGUCAAACAUUUGUGGUGGUGUGGUGGAUGUUAACCAACAUUCUGGUCGCACGGGCUCACCUUUUUCGAAAGAUCAAAAUCUAAGGAAAAAUCAGUCCGAACUGCAUGCAGUCUUUUCGGCCUAAUUAUCGGGGCUGGUUGGGAAUACCCCCCCGGAUACUUCACCGACGACGGGAUGUGAUCUGCAGGCUAAGGCAUUUCCUCUUUCCUUCUUCUCUGCGGCUGAUUCUGAGAAAGUUCUCUCUCAUAAGAUUGAAAAGGCUAGAAGCCUUUUCCUCCUUUCGGUCCUGGUGGUUGCGAGUCAAUGCAGCCUGUCUUCGGUCUUUGGUGGCCUCCCUGGUGCUUCUAUCGGUGCUCAAAAUUAUGUAUCUUCCUCAUCAUCGUCGGGUGGCUAGGCCAUAUCGAUCCAUUGCGAGUCCCACUUUUGAUCCUCUGUCGGUGGAUCCUUUAGCGAUCGUGUUGGUUGAGGAGAGCUCAGAGCCUCAGUUGCUGGAAGAAGGAGAGUUCGUCCCAAAGACUUUGAUUGUUGCAGCAGACGCUACUUCAGAGGGUAACUUACGUGAAAGACAUGCCUUGGUGCCGGUGGAUGACCAACCUCACCUAAAUGUUAUCCCUAAGGAGACCCGUUUGUUGCUGCUUCACUUUAUGGAUGACAAAUUGGUUAAUUUGGGUCAAGAUGUCAUGGUCGAAGAGAUGGUGACUGACCCGGAGUUGGACAUUAUCAGGACUAUUGUUUCUGACUGUGGUAUGGACUUCAAUGUGUCCAUUGGAGUUGUUUUUCAAGAGAUUGUUGCUAAGAAAAAGGCUGAGAAGAAAGCGAAGGUUGCUGAGUGCAAGGAGCCAUGUGAAGCUUUGGCGAAAACUCAAUCGAUAGGGGCUAAGAUGAAGAAUAAAGGCAAAGUUGUCACUAAAGGAACUAGGUCUUCAGCAAUGUUACAGGCUCGACGUGUUCUUCCUCUGAAUACGGCUACUCGUGGUGUUGUCAUCUCAGAUGACCAGGUGAUUGAUGUAAGUUUUGAUUCUUCGGGUGGUGACGGGAUGCUCGGAGCUAGCCUUGAUGAAGCAAGGAUGUUGGAAAAAGUAUUUUUUGGUGAUAGCAAGGAGGGCCCAGGUUCUUCCUCUGUUAAUCCUUGUUAAAUGAUUGUGAUUUGUUGGAAUGUUAGAGGUCUGGGUGACCUCAAACGAAAAAAGGAUGUUAAGUUUUUGGUUUCAAAAUUCAGACCUUCAGUUCGAAUUUUGCAGGAAACUAAACUUCCCUGCCCUACCUGUAUGGGGCUAGUGAAGUUUGGGGUCCAAGUUCAGUAGAUUUUGUUGGGGUGGCUUCUGUUGGAGCAUCAGGGGGUCUUUGGAUUCUUUGGGAUCCUUCUAUUCUUCGACUAUUUUUUGUACUUGAAAAAACAAACUUUUUGUUAGUUGGUUGUGUGGGGCUUUCUUCUGAUUUUAAAUGGGGUUUGAUGAAUGCUUUUGGUCCUCAAACUUUUGCUGCUAAAGAAGUUUUUGUCAAUGAGAGGUCAGAUGCUCUUAAUUCAGAUGAUUUUUUUAUUUAUUAGUGGGGGGGGGGAUUUCAAUUUUAUUAGAUGGCCGGAUGAAAGUAAUUAUGGUGGGCCGAUUACUGCUGCUAUGCGGUUAUUUAAUAGGUUUAUUGAGGCUUUUGCCUUGAUUGACCUACCAAUUUUGGGCACGGGUUUUAAUUGGACCAAUGGUAGUUCUAUAAAUCUAUCAAUGUCUAAGCUUGAUAGAUUCUUGGUUUCUGGUGAAUGGUUUGAGAACUUCUCUUAGGCUUCGGUUAAAGCUCUACCUCAACUUUCGUCAGAUCACACCUCUAUUAUGUUGUGUUCAAAAGUUAUAUCUAAGGGUCCAACACCUUUUAGAUUUGAAAUAGGUUGGCUUCAUGAGAAAAAAGUGAUAUUGUCAAUAAUACUUGGGAGAAUACUAUCUCCUUUGGAUCUCUUGAUUAUUAACUUCACAAAAAGAUUUUGAAUGUUAAACAUAAUCUGCUUGCUUGGAAAAGAGAUAAGGGCUUUAAUAUUAUAAGCAAAAUUGAGGAAGUUUUCGGUAGACUUGAGAUGUUCUGCUGUCCAAAGUUUUGGGGCUUUAUCAAAUAAGUUUAUUGUUAAAAGACACUCUUAUACUCAGGAGUUACAAGAACUUAGGAGAAUUGAGGAGGUGUAUUGGAAGCAAAGAUCCCAUGUUAGAUGGUUGAAAGAAGGGGAUCUGAAUACUAAGUUUUUCCAUGUGAUUGCCAAUGCCUGCACUCGUCAGAAUGAUAUGUUUGGUCUUGUGAUCAAGGUGUUGAUCCAGAAGAUGAUAGUGGUAUCUCUGAUGUUGUCAUUAAUCAUUUCCAAAAGGCUUUCUCCUUUAAAAUAAAAGCCACCCCCAGGUUGCAUCGGGUGGGUUUUAGAUCUCUUCUUUCUAAUCUAAUUUCUUUCUUGGAAAAAGAUGUCUCUAUGGCUGAAUUAAAAAGAGUAGUAUUCUCCUUGCCAGGUGAUAAAGGUCCUGAUACAGACAGAUAUCCUCUCAUCUUUUUUCAUACCUUUUGGCAUUUAGUUGGAUGUGAACUUUUGGAAAUGGUAAGGGGGUUUCUAAGAAGAGGGGAACUUUUCAAAGGUGUCAACUCCACUCUUAUAGCCAUUAAUCUUAAAAAGUCUGGGAUCGCCUCUCUUUGUGAUAUCAAUCCCAUUAGCCUAUUGAUUAGCCUCUAUAAAAUUGUAUCCAAAGUGCUUGCAGAGAAACUUAAAGUGGUGUUACCAUCUAUCAUUUCUGGCCCCCAGACAACAUUUAUUAACAAUAGGUUAAUCACUGACAAUGUUUUGGGUGCCCAGGAAUGUAUUCAUUCUCGUAUUAUUGACAGUUCUCCCGGAAUUGUGAUCAAGUUGGAUAUAGAAAAGCUCAAGUUGGAUAUAGAAAAAGCUUAUGAUAGAGUGGAAUGAAGUGUUCUGCUAGAGAUAAUGAAGAAUAUGGGGUUUGAGGAAAAAUGGAGGAAUUAGAUGUUUAAAGGUAGCCCUAUGGUUAUUUUAGGGCUUUGAAGGGUCUUUGCCAAGGUGACCCUCUUUCACCAUUUUUAUUCACAAUUUAUGCAGAGUGUUUUAGUUUAUUUGUUCGUAAUAUUGAUUCUAAAGGGAACUUUGCUAGUUUUCAACUUCCAAAUGGGGGACCUUGUAUAUCUCAUCUUCAAUAUGCUGAUGAUACUGUACUAGUUUGCGAUGUUGAGGAGGAACAGGUCACUAAUAUAACCACCUUUUAAAAAUGUUGUGAAGUUGCUUUAGGUCUUAAGGUGAAUUUUGGUAGGACAUCUGUGAUAGGUAUCAAUUGUGAUGAUACGAUAGUGGCUGCUUUGGUAGAGACUAUGGGCUCUAAGGUGGAUCAAUUCCCAAUAUUGUAUCUUGGUAUGCCCAUUUUUUAUCGUCUCUCUAUGGCAAUGAGGGAUAAAAUGAUUCAGUGAAUCUAACUUAAGCUCGAUCUAUGAAAAUACAAAUAUCUCUCUUUGGGGCGAGGAUUACUUUGAUUAAAGCUUGUCUAUCUAAUCUCACUAGUUAUUAAAUGUCUAUUUUGCAGAUCCCCUCUUCGGUGGCUAGAAAGAUUGAGAUGCUUAUGAGAAACUUUCUUCGAGGGACUCAAAAAAAUUCUAUCUUUUUAGAUGGGAUAGGGUAUGUACACAAAAAAGGGAAAGUGGUCCAAGGAUUAGGAAAAUUAAGUUGGUUAAUCAGACUUUACUAUGUAAAUAGUGGUGGAGUCGUCUAAAUUUUAAGGAUCAACUUUGGUACAAAGUGAUUAUCUUAAAGUAUGGCGAUGACAGAUUUAAUAUGUGGACUGAAGGUAAGUUUAGCAAUAGGAGGAUAUCACUUAUUUGGAAAUCUAUCAAUUCGUAUAAGCCUCUUAUCCAUAGAGUUAUCAGAUGGACUGUUGGUGAUGGCAGGAAUAUCUCCUUUUGGCACCAUAAGUGGUUAGAUAAUUCACUCUUAAAUUAUGUAUUCCCUAUGAUUUUCAAUAAGGUUAUUAAUCCCAAUGCCUUGAUCUCCGAUCUUUUUGAGAGGAGGGGGGAUCAGAUUGAGUAGAAGAUCAUCUUACCAUAUAAUAGAAUUCCUGAUGAACUUCUCUUGGAGUUUAGCGGCUUCCUGACUGUGCUUAAUGAGGUAUAUAUUUCCCUGAAUGCAAAAGAUGAUGAGGUGGUUUGGGACAUUUCAAGAGAUGGUCUAUGUACCAUCUUUUGUUUCAGGAUCGAUGGAUGUGGUUGACGCCCAAAAUUGUUGUUAUUUGGAAGUGGUCGAUUCUACUUAAGAUGCAAGCUUUUCUGUGGUUGGCGGUGCAAAAUAAGGUAUUAUCUACAGAUAAUCUCAUUAAAAGGGGAAAAAUCCUGCCAAAUAGAUGUUUACUUUGUAAAAGGGAUGGUGAAUUAAGAGCCCAUUGCUUUCUCCAUUGCCUUUUACUGGUAGUAUUUGCUAGUGGUUUUUUCCUAAGGUUAAAGUGGUGCUGAUUUUACCUCCAGAUGUUAUUGGAAUUAUUGGAGCCUUAUCUGUCUCGUCGCUUCCUAAAACUGGUGCGGUGAUUUGACAAAUAGCAAGAGAGGUUAUUUUAUGGGAAGUUUGAAGGAGAGGAAUAGAAGAGUUUUUUGGGGAUAAGCUCACCUUUUGAUAGAAUUUUUGAUAAAAUUCUUCAUUCUAUUUGGAUGGAUUUGUCUAUUGCAAAGGUGGGGAGAAAUAUUUUGGAAGUGGAUGUUAGAACAAAUUUAUACCAUCUUUUCCAUAUGGGUUACAUGAAGUGUAGCGAAAGAGAGAUGGACUGCUCCACCAUGAGGCAUUUUAAAAUUGAAUUUUGAUGGGAGUUCGCUGGGCAAUCCAUGUCUAGCUAGUUCUGGAGGAGUUCUGAGGGAUUGGGAAGGACGAGUUUUGUUUUCUUAUGCUGGGCAUUUGAGAGAGAAAACCGCUAACCACACUGAGUUUAUGUCUCUCAUACAUGGUUUAAAAUUUCUUGAUGCCGGUUUUUUUGGAUCAACUUGCAUUCUUGAAGGUGACUCCUUCAAUGUUUUCAAUUGGUGUAAGGCGGAGAAGAAAGUACCAUGAGAAUUGCGAUCGGUUUUGCUACAGAUUUUGGAUUUGUCCAAUUCUUUUUCUCUCUCCUUUGUCCAUGUUUACAAGGAGGUUAAUGAUUUGGCUGAUAGUUUAGCAAGAAAUGGUACCUUUCUUAUAGAGAUUUUAGUCUUUGAUUAUGUAAUUUCCUUUUAGAAUCUAAAUAAUAUUUCCUGACUUUAAUAAAAAAAAAUGGGUGUUAAGGUAUGGGCUGGAACCUGUUUUUUAGGGCCUCAGUUUUAAGAUAAGGAUAGUUUGGUAAUAUGAAAUUGGUUAGGAUAAGGUAGCCUGUGGGAUUACAAGAACCAUAAAGGAAAGUUGAAAAAAAAGGAUUUACAAAAUAUGAAGUUAGAGAGAGAGAGAGAGAUACGAAGGGAUGACAAUGGUGGUAUGGGAGUAUUAGAGAUUUGUUUGGGUGAAAUGGGGGUAGAAAAUGGUACAAUUUUAAAAAUUGAAAGCUCAAACUCUUUUUGUUUUUAGGCACACAUGAGCACUAUAUCAAGGCGAUAUUUUCCCCCCCUUUGAUAUAGAAUUUGAUGCAUAUAAGAAAGGCAAUUCAUCCUCGGGAUACAAGAAAACAAAGAUGUCUUUUUCAAUAUUCCUAAAUUAGUUUAGAGACAGAAAGAGACAAAAUGGAGUAGAGAGAGUUAGCCCACUGGUUUUUUUCAUUGGAAUUGCAGAGAAUGGUUCAUUGAGAGAGACGCCAGGGCUGUGAAAAGUAUGUAUCUCGUAUGGGAUAGACUCCCCAUUAAAUAGAGCUAUAAGGUGAUUGCUUAUUAACUAUAGUGAUGGUUACAUGCACUACCAAAAGCUACAAGUUACAUGCAACAUAAACGGUUACAAGUUACAUGCACUUUAACUCUCUUGAUAGCUGUUGUUAUAGCCUCCUUUUGCUUCCAUCUCAUCAAUGGCUAAAUAAUCGUUGGAUACCAUAUGAGUCAGGCUCACAAAAUGACAACGAACUACGAGCCCGACCAAUACUCGGGCGAGGGAUGCCUCAUGUACUGAUACAAGUGUGCAAAGUACAAAGUGUGACAUCAAACGCCCUUGCAGCCAUGCCUUCGAAUGCUUUGCGUGCUCCACACGUGCACUUUCUCUCUUUUUUGUACUUAUAGUAUAUUGCAUGGGAGUACGUGCUCUUAAAUACAACUUAACAAACUCUCUCCUCUUCAGUGUGAAACUCAAACCCACAUCUUUAUCUAUCUACAAAAGCAAUUGAAGAAAGAUUAAUAAAACCAAAGUUGUUUUGAAAUAUACUUAAGUAUUUUUCAAACAAAAAAUACUAAAAGGAAGGAUAUGUUUGUUUGUAUUAAAAGAGGUGUGACCCCUCUUUGAAAGGAGAUUAUUGGCGAUUGAAUAACGAGUUUGAUUUUGUAAUAAGAUCUUCGGUAGACUUCCUUACAGACUCAGAGAUGGUAUAAUCUCUCAAAUGUUUUUUAUUUUAUUUUUAUUUUCUAAUUAUUUUCUCCUUGCAUCAGUUGAAAUCUAAGCAGCUAAGUAUGAUCUUUAUAUGUCCAUUUCUUCAAUAGAUCCAUGCUCCUUUCAUGACUAGAUGACCCACCUUGCUAUCUAGCAUAAUCUCUUCCAUUAUGACAACUUUCUUUUUAUUUUCAUGUGUAUUUCCUGAUGAAAUUUUUUGAAACUUUUCAUCAUGAAUUAGAAGGUAUUUUGAGAUUCUAAUGAGUUUCUUAUGACGUUUGAACCUAUAUUAGUUUAGUGAGCAUGAUAUACAUUUGCUUCCCAAACCUAAGAUCCAUUUGAAAUCAUUAAAAUUGUGCUAUCUAAAGUGAGCAUUCAUGUGGUAUGUAUCUAAGUCUUGACCAUAAACUGGGCAAAUCGAGCAUAUAUUUUGUUUUCCAUUAGUAUGAGGGGAUUGUCUAGAGAAAAGCCAUUUAUCUUUUCCGUAUGGAGAUUACAAUCAUUCUUGUCCCUUAAAUUUCAAAAUGGGUGGUUAUAAGAGUAUCAUUUAACAGACACAAAGUUCCAAAAAUAAAUUCUCAGACGUUGUGACUCACCCCAAGCCAUCCAAUUUGAUAUUUAAUGAGUGUAAACGAUUGUGACAUCUAUGUAGAAAAGAUAAAUGGUCUAUUUAUAAAAAGUCCCUAUUAUAAGACUCUUAUGCUACUAUUGGGUUAAGUCUAGGUAUUUUAAGAGAUUGAAUUUGUUUUUGUUUUGUCCUUUAUGUACUUAAUGUAUCAUUUGACCAAUUUGUAUGUUAGUUGGAAAUUGUGUGUAAGUUGAAUAUGUGUUUAGUCAAUCUCCAAGUUGUGGUUUGAGCUGAACUAGUUUGUGGAUCAAAGUGGAGUGUUAUGUUACGUACUUUGAAGGUAUGUAAGGUGAAAUUAUGUUCACUUACUGUAAAUUUCUUUAAAGAGACAUUAUAUGUCCAUUUACUCAUUGUUAGUAGUCUCCUUGAGGAAAGACCCUGUAAACUCACACCUAUACUUGGACCCAGAUUUGCUGGUUGGGUUAGGUCUGGGUCAAAAGAAAAAUAAAUGUGACUGUCAAUAAAGAGACUAUAUAUCUUUUAUGCAUUGAGGUCACAAUGAUUCACUCAUUAGAUGUCAAAUUGGAUCGCUUGUGGUAAGUCAUAAAGUCGAAACAAUUUUUUUUGUGAACUGUGUCAAUUCAAUGACGCUCCUACAACCACCCAUAUUAAAAUACAAGGGACAAAAAUAUUAGAUGUCUAAUAGGUGGGGAAAGUCACGAAGUCCGAGAAUAUUUGUUUUUUAUUGUAAAUUUAAUGACACUCUUACAACCACCCAUUUUAAAAUUUAAAGGACAAAAAUGAUUGUGACCUCCAUAUACAAGAUAAAUAGUCUCUUUGUAGAUAAUCCCAAAAUAAAUUCUAUUAUAAAUAUUUUAUAUAACAUAUAAAAUAAGAAUGAGGUUUCUAUAAGACCUAGGCUUUACGAAAACAAAAUAAGGCCUCACCUCAAAUUCUCGUCUGGAAAGUACUUUCGAUGAUAGAAAUCUUUAUAAUAGCUCUAAAAUCAAUUUCCAACACUGGCAAUAAAAUUUGUAACUCAAAAAAUGGUACAGAUCUUGUAGAUAUGUGAAUAUUUUUUAUUAAAGAAAAAUAGAUAGUCUAGAUAAUUUGUUACUGUCUUUAGAGCUUCAAAUUCCUUUUUUUUUUUUUUUUUUCAGCCAUAAUGUUUAGGUUAAGAUGAUCGAUGUAAUGGUUUUCCAAUACUUGACUUGAAAUUUUCGAUGAGUUAUGAGGUGAGGAUUUAAUUAUUUUAUCGGGGUUGCAACCCUAUCAAACCAUUUUCCAUAAAACAAUGUUGCAUAUAAACAUAUAAUAUUAUACAUAAGGAAAUGUAUAUAAUGAGACCAUUUACUUUUGAUACAAGGAGGCCACAAUCAUCAUUAACCAUUGGAUUUGAAUUCAGGUGGUUAAAAAUGGGUUAUUAAUUGGACACAAUGUCAAGAUAAAAUUUCUCGAAUGUUGUGACACAUUUUCAUCAUUUCACAUUCAAUGACUAAAAAUGAUUAUGACCUCCUUUAGGCCUAAAAAUGGUUUUGAUUGGGUCUAGAUCCACAGGUUUCCAAAUUCAUAUCCGAAAAGGAUACAUGAGAUUUGAGCCCAAUCGGAUCCAGAAUAUUUAGAUCCAGAUCCAAAUUUAAAAAGUCUACAUGGGAUUUGGAUCCUGACCACAUCGGAUCGAAGAAAAUAUUUUAUAUAUUAUUUUAUAAUAUUAAAUAAUAUAUAACGAAAUAUACUAUACAUAAUAUAUUUAUAUAUAUAAUGAUAUAUAAAUAACUUCCUCUGAUCAAAUCAAAUCCACCUGUACCUGGAUCCAAAUCCGACUUAUCGGAUCCAAAUCCUUGAUCCAUACGCUGAUCCGAAUAAGAUCCAAAAUUUCGGUUUUAGAUCCAAAUUGAGCAAAUUCUCAACCCUAACCUCCUUGUACCAAAAAUAAGUGGUCUCAUAGCAUACAAUCCCUAUAUAUAAAUAUCAAUUUGUACUUAGUAGGGUCAACAUUCAUCUAGAUCCGACACAAAUAGAUAAUCUAGACCUGACCCAAGUCUGAUCCAAGUCAUAUGAACUUGAACCUAACCCACCAAGUCCAAUAUUUGGAUAGGAUCCAUGUGGGGUGUACUUAUGAUUGGGGUUGACCCGUCUUCAUGAUCGACCCGAUCCUAUUGCCGCCCCUAAAAGCACUGUAAGCUAGACAAUAAUGACCUAAAAAUGGGUCAAUAAUGAAUGACUUGAACGAAAGGUGAAUGAAAGAUACCUUGAAAACCUUUGGUCAUAGAAAAUCUAAAUUCAAGUAGGGUUUGAAAUUCGGGUUUUGGAUCCAAACUGAGUAAAUUUUUAACCCUAACCUCCUUGUACCAAAAAUAAAUGACAUCAUAGUAUAUAAUCAUUACAUAUAAAUAUCAGUUUCCCUUUAAUAGGGUCAACAUUCACCAAGAUCUGACCCAAACCGAUAAGCUAGACCUGACCCAAGUUAAAUCCAAGUCAUCUGAACUUCGAUCUAACCCACCAGGUCCAAUAUUUGGAUAGGACCCAUGUGGGGUCUACUUAUCGUUGGGUUGAUCCGUCUUCAGGGUCGACUCGAUCCUAUUGCCACUAGGGGUGAGAACGGAUACGAUCGGGGCCAGAUCCGACCAGAUUUUAAUCGAAUAGUAUACAUCGGAUCCAGGUUCAAACCUGAUCUUGGAUAUUAGGAUCCGGAUCUGGAUCCAGAUUGUAUAUAUACUAUUUUCAAAAAUUUAUAUAUAUAAACAAAAAUUUAGUAUUAAAAAACGACCGGGUUGGAUCCGGAUCGAAUCCACCUGCAUUCGGAUUGAUCUUGAUUUUAAUUUGGAUUUGAUUUUUUAUCCAGAUCCAGAUUUCAAAUCCAAAUUUGGGGUCCAUCCCUGAAUUUGAAUAGGGCCCAAAAUCGGAGUUUCAGAUCCGCAUCGGGUCAAUUCUCACCCCAAAUUGCCACCCCUAAAAGCAAUAUAAGCUAGGACAACUGUAACUUAAAAUAGUGCAAUGACUCAAUAAUGAAUGAUUGGAAGGCGAAUGAAAGAUACCUUGAAAACCUCUAGUCAUAGAAACCCACAGCUAUGUACUUUCUCAGUGUGGCCAAUGCCACUAUUUGUUGGGUUCGGCCCACAUGAGCUCCAUGAUGUGUGUGUAUUUAUAUGUUGUGUGUGUAUUUGUAUGUUGUACGUGUAUUUGUUGGUGCAAAACCCAAUAACAACUUCCGGGGAGUAUAUGGGGCAAAUUGAAGUGCUCGACAAUUUCAAAUUUAAAGAUCUGAAGUUGGGGCAAUUUGUUUAAAAAAAAAAAAAAAACCGACCAUUUUCAUAAUAUUUCAUAAUAAGUAUGAGGGUAAUAUUUCUAACUUAUAGGGGAUUGUAGUAAUAACGAUUAAUCAAAGUAUACAUAUGUAAUUUUCCCUAAUAAUAACGAUUAAUCAAAGGGUACGGAUGUAAUUUUCUCUCAAGAGAAGAAUAAUUGUUAUGUGAUGUGAAGAAUUAAAAUAGAUAGUAAAAAAAGAAAGCAAAAUUUCAAAUAAACUAUUUUAAAACUAAAGAAAACUCGUUUUUAUAUUUCAUUGAUUGCAAGGGUUAAUAUGAUCAACGUAUGAAAUUUAAAGUCCAAAAUCCAUCUCUAACAACAUGGAUUAUGAGCGAGACUGCGAGGUGCUCCAGCACUAGAAACCCGUCUACGUAAAUAAGCUUACUAAGCUCCUAUCUCCAAGGUGUGGGUCUUGAAUAUACAGGGGAAAGAUUGAAUGAAAAGUGCACAGACGCCCUCCCGAUAGCUGAGAUUUAAUCUAUAAAGAUUUGAGGGCUACAAUUUGAUUUGAUUUUUUGGUUUUUAUAUUUUUACAAAUUAUCAUAUACAAAAAUUUAAAAUCAGAUUCAUUUUUAUAAGAUGUACCCAGCAUAAAUAAAUAAAUAAAUAAAUUUAAGCAAAAAUAAUUACUAAAAUACCCUUAAACUGUUUAGGGUAAUCUAGUUAAUUUUCAUUCAAAUUAUAUUGGGCACGUUUUCUAUGUUCCUGCGGGAGUAUAUUGUGCAUCCACUCCCUUGCCCAAACACUUAUUUAUGAAGAUUCUUUAAGUCUAAAAUUUGAAAUUUUGAGUUUUGUGACCCAUAGAUUCAGCCCUUCAAAAUUUACAUGGUCUUGAUUCAAUCUUGAGAUACUAGUUUUUCCUAGCACAUAGAGAUUUAUUUGAGAAAUUUUUUGAAUUGAGAUUAGUUUAUGGGUUGUGGAGAUUACUUCCCAAAAUUUGAGAUCCAACAAAUAUCUAAAUGGUAUAUUCCCACAGGAGUCUUUUGGCUUUAAUUUUUAUAGAGGUGCAUGAUUUUUAGAUGUAUGAGGAUACCGCCAUGUGAAAAGUAUGGAAAAUGGUUUGAUAGGGCUGCAGCCCUAUCAAAACAAGUAAAGCCACCUUAUAAUUCAUCAAAAAUUACAAUUUAAAUAUUGAACAAAUUUUAAAUCAAUCAUCUCAUCUUGAACAUUAUGGUUGUGAGAAAAAUUAGGAUUUCAAUUUCUAAAAUAGUGUGUAUUGCAAUAAAUCAUCUAGACUAUCCAUUUCACCCUAAACAAAAAUGUUAACAUAUCCUCAAAAUCUGUACCAUUUUCUUGAGUUUCAAAUUUUAUUGUCGAUAUUGGAAAUCGAUUUUAGAGCCAUCAUGAAGAUUUUCGAUGCCUAAAGUGCUUUCUGAAUGAGGAUUUGAGAUGAGGCUUUAUUUUGCUUUCAUAAAGCGUAGGCCCUAUAGGAACUUCAUCUGAAAAGUAUUUGCAAUUGAAACAUAAAAAUAAAAAAAUAAAAUCAAUUUCUAAGCUUUGAAAAGCAAAUUGCAUGUGAGCCAUUAGAGGGCUUCAAGGCUCCACAUCACGAGGAUGUUUAGCCAUCCCAAGAUUCAAUUUGUAAGGCGCACAAUGUUGUGUGCGGAAGCUCUAAACCAGAUGGGUUAUUUUUGGCAAAUAAGUUACGAGUAAAAUAGAAUCAACAACAAGUAAGAAAAAUAAAGCACGAAAGAGAUAGUAUAAAAAAGAGCACUAGAUUUUACUUGAUUCAUCCUAAGAGGGCUACAUCCACAAGCACGACAAACUAAAAUCCAAUAUACCAUUGAAAGUUACAUAAAAGAUUUUGGAACGUAGAGUUACCUCUCUAAGCCUCGACAAAACCAAGUCGAGCAAACCAUUUUAAGCCACUUUCUCGCCUGACACCACAUGUCGUUCUUUCUUCUCUUUACUUCUAGCAACCAUUAUCGACAACACCAGAUGGAGACGAAAAAAACAACGAGAAACUGACUUUUUCUCUAACUAAAAAAAGAAAUCACCAAAAAUCUCCAUAAGAAUCGCUUCUCUACAAAAAAUCAGUACCUCAAUCUAAAGGAGUCUGCAGGAGACAUCAUCGUAACGUUUUUCUCCAUAAGAAUCUGUCUUCUCUUUGAAAGGAGGAAGCCCUACUUCUCAAGCACAGGAGACCUUGCCCCUCUCUCUCUCUCUAGAGAAGAAAUAAUAUUUCCCAUAUUGUGAACCAAAUAGGGCACACUUAUUCUUUCCUCUUUCAUCUCAUAUAUAUAUGGUUUGAAAUCUUAUUAAAUAGAAAACUUCAUAUAGAUGUUAGAUAUAUCUAAAAAACCAAUAGAUAUACCCAAGAGUCAUAACAUUUUUUGAAAACUUAUCAAUCUCAAUCCCACAUAAUAUGGGAUUUUUUGAUGUAAAUGACUUUGGCCAACAAUCUCCACCUUUAUAUUAAAAUCAUCCUUUAGAUAGCUUUAUAAAAUCUUCAUCUUUCAUUUCAGAGUUUUAUGUAAAUUUUGUUGCACUAGCAAAUCUCGAACAUGAUUGGCCAAAUUCCAAAACUCUUUUUUUCAUCACCUUUUUGCACCUCGAACUUCGCAUUUGAAACCUUUACUGCCAUACGGAUAACUCCAAACCAGGCUCGGAUACCACUUGUUGUGCGUUGAAGCUCUAAACCCGACGAGUUUAUUUUUGACAAAUAAAGUAUAAUAAAAAUAGAAGUACAAUAAGAAAGAAAAAAUAAAACAUGAAAGAAAUAAUAGAAAAAGAACACCACAAUUUACAAAAUUUCGUCACAUAAGUGACUACAUCCCUAGGUAAAGACGAUCGAUGUUCUCCACUAAAUCAAAGAAAUAAAAUUACAAGGCACGUACUAGAGAGAACUAGAGACACAUAACUCAAUCUUCCACCAAGUCUUAUUCUCUCUAUAAUUCUCUCUAGAAAAUCCUAAAAAGAUUACUUCUAUCUUUUUGACACUUUAUAUCUCUACAAAAUAACCCAUUAUAUAUAGGAAAAAGCAAAGGGCGAUACUGCUCUUUUGGGUUUACUUUUAUCUCUUUUCCACAUUGUUUUCAUAUCUUAAUUUGAGAGAGAGAGAGAGAGAGAGAGAGAGAGAUUUCAGUUGGAUACGAUGAUAUCCAAAAUCACCCACAUAAAGAAAUCCAAUAUUAUGAGGGAUUGCGAUUGAUAUUGAUAAGCUUCCUAAAGGAAAUAGAAAUCCAAAAAUAUUAGGACCCAUGGAUAUAUAUUUAUUGGUUUUUGAGAUAUAUGUAACUGCUAUAAGAAGUUUGCUGAUAAGUAUGGAAUCCUAAUGUCACGACGCCGUCCCCCUGACCCCUACCGUACAUACUGGAGGGCAACAGGGUGCAAAACUGUGAUCGGAGGUAGCGAAUGCCACUCAGGUGGAAGUGCGUUCAAUGCUUUUUAGAAAGUGGAAUCAAAGCAAACCACGAAAGAAAGUAAAAACCAAACACAAAGGUACAAGGAUCUGGACAAAAUUAAACCAACUUGUAUGUACAUGCUUCAAUUUUUAAUUACAAUCAUGUUCAAGGUACUAAAGGCCCAACUACAAAAUGCAAGAUUUCUCACAAAACAACUAUGUGGCCACAGCCACCAGACACCUACUAUUAAGGUAAAGCCUUCACUCGUCAAGCCCAAAACUUCAGCCACCAACCGCCAGUGCCUAGUUGCCCACUCUCAAGGACCGUAGGUUGUCACUCUACACAGAUAAAGAAAAUCAAAGGGAUGAGCUAUAAAGCCCAGUAAGCAGAUCAACAUCAUGAAUUCUGACCGACAAAACGAUAUUCAUAAACAUUGCCCAAAAAUUCAUGCAAGUGUCAAAACAUGGACUCAUGUGUCACAAUUCUUUUAGCAAUGAUGGGAGAAGUGUAAAAUCCGAUAUUAGAGUAUCAUACAUUGCAUGAGCUAACAGUUACUCCAUCAUUAGUCAUAAUAGCAAAUAAGAAUAACAGGCAACGAACCAAAUGCAUACAGGCAGUCCUAGUGUAGCAUACUCCCGAAAUAAAAGUCCCAUCGAUCAGGCUAGGCUAGUCAUGUAACUUGGAACUUCUUUUCUCAUUCAGGAGGGAAGACAAUGACAAAUGGGGGAUCUAUUUCGUAUUAUAUUCACGUGCACACACAAUCCCCAGCGCGCUUUGGGGAUAGGCUGUGGUCUUGCAAGACAUGACCAUCUCUUUAUGCCUUCCAGGUGAGAUGGAGUUACACUACCAAUGGGUGGCCCAAUGCGUAGUGCCCAUAUAGNNNNNNNNNNNNNNNNNNNNNNNNNNNNNNNNNNNNNNNNNNNNNNNNNNNNNNNNNNNNNNNNNNNNNNNNNNNNNNNNNNNNNNNNNNNNNNNNNNNNNNNNNNNNNNNNNNNNNNNNNNNNNNNNNNNNNNNNNNNNNNNNNNNNNNNNNNNNNNNNNNNNNNNNNNNNNNNNNNNNNNNNNNNNNNNNNNNNNNNGCGUAGUCGCCAUAUAGAUCGUGGGGGGGGGGGGGGGCGUCGACCCUCUCAAAUAUUCACAUUCACAUCCCGACUUCAUUCCUAUCAUUGGGGUUGAGGUAAGAUCAUAACUGCCAGCAUCUUAUCUCAUCAGAAUAAAUUGCACUACCAAUAGAUGACCUGUUGCGUAGUGCCUUAUAUCAAAAGUCUUAGAAAUCUCAUAUCAUACUACCAAUGGAUGUCCCAUUGCAUAGUAAUUCAUAUCAUAGGCUUGUCACAACAGAUUCCCACUACUGAUGGAUGUUCCAUUGUGUAGUGGUUCAUAUCACAUGCUUAUCAUAAAUGAUUCCUACUACCAAUGGAUAUCCCAUUGCGUAGUGUUUCAUAUCACAUGCUUAUCACAACAGAUUCCCACUACCAAUAGAUGGUCCAUUGCAUAGUGGUUCAUAUCAUUUUAAAUCAUAAGCAAGCACAUGCAUAACUCAAGCAUUUAUUCACUCAUGCCUAAGCAUGAGCAUUCACUAUAUCCUGAGCAUGCAUAUUCAAUACUUUAUAACAGAAAAUGUUUUUGAUCAUGAAGGCCUCUUAAAAUAUGAUCUAACUUCCCUUCCAUGGGGAUCUUAUUCACAGUCCCAAUAUUAACUUGAAAGUUAACUCAUCCCCCUUUCAUUUAGAAGGUGUUUAGCCUUAAUCAGAGACAUUUUGCUCAAAGAACAGUCUUUCAUAAAACAAGCAACAUUUCUGAAAUUUCUGCAACUGAUAAUAGUAAUAUACCCACACAAAAUGAGGCAUAACUCUCAAUUUAUGAAUAAUUUAGACAUGGUUUUAAAACCAAAUUUGAAGUAGGACACACAUUUAAAUGUGGUUUGAAGUCCUUUGGACAUCGUUUGAUUAGUCAAAAGUUCAGUAUAAAAUGAGUAACAGUUCUGUAAUUUCUGCAACUUAUGACAGUGACAAAUCCACACAAUCUAGAGCAUAUUUCCUAAUUCAUGAGGAAUUUUGUAAUGACCCAAGAUUUUCCCCAAGUAAGAGAGAAGGAAAGGAAAAGACAUACUUGGCGGGAAGAGUGAAGCAGUGCCGGUUGUGAAGAAGAGAUAGAGAGAGAGAGAGAGAGAGAGUCAGCGUCGAUGGUGAAGAGAGAUAGAGAGUCAACGCUGAUUGUGAAGAAGAGAGAGAGAGCCAACACCAGCUGUGAAGAGAGAGAGGGCCAACGUCGGCUAUGAAGAGAGAGAGAGCCAGUGUUGGCUGUGAAGAGAGAGAGCCAACAUCGGCUGUGAAGAGAGAGAGAGAGCCAGUACCGGCGGUGAAGAGAGAGAGAGCCAGCGCCGGUUGUGGAGAGAGAGAGAGAGAAGUGCAACGCCGUGUGUAGCACUACCAUGCAUGGUCAUUGUUUGCCACCUAUCAACUUUAAGCUGCCACCUACCACUUGAGGGAGUAUUUAAGCCCUCUCCCUCUCCUUCACGCAGUUUCCACUCACACUCUCUUAUUUUUUCUUUCUCACUAAAGCUAACUCUCAAGUCCCUUACCCAUUGUUACCCCAUUACUACCCACCAAGGGAAGCUUUAGGAUUCUGUGCAAGAAGGGGUUAGGAGCACCAUUUUCUCAUCAAGUAAGUGGAUAUAGAUGCUGUGUAUCAUUGUCUUAUUCAAGCAUGAAGUGUAGAUUAGUAGAAUGUAGAAAUAUGUGUGUGACUGUGAAGUCUUGGAAUUUAAGUACUUGAAUCCAUGACUAUUUAGUCUAUAAAAAUGGUGAAAAUGUUUACAAAAUCCUCCUGUGAAUCUAGUUUAAGUGAAGUAAGUUUUGAUCGAAUACUAAACUAUAACUUGAAAGAUAUUGUUAUGCUUGUGUAUGUAGUAAAAAUGGGAGAAAGGAAUAAAGAAAUGAAAUUUCUAGGAACUGUGGGUGUCUUUGUAUCAAAUAUUUAGUGACCAAACAGUGUCCAAAUGGGCUCAAAUUGGUCUUGAAUGAAAGAUAUGUUUGUCCACUACAAUUUUUCUUCUUGUAUAAUCUUGAAAUUCUUCAUAUUUUAGGAUUUACAAUCUAAAAUAUAUGACUAUGUCACUAUUAAUAGACAACAGAAAUUCCAGCCACUGUCAUAUACUUUAUACCAAACUUUUGACCAACCAAUCAGUAUCCAAAUACCUCCAAAUCACCGCCAUUUGAACUGUAUAGGUGUCUACUACAAUGUUUAUGUUUAAAUCUUGUUGAAAUUCUUCACGAAUGAGAAGCUAUACUCCAAAAUAUGCUUACAUGUCACUGUUACCAGAUGCUGUGAAGAUUCAGAACUAUCACCUUACAGUGUCAUGAGUUUUGAUUAAUCAAAUGAAGUUCAAUUGUUUCCAAACUACCACUAUUGGAAAGGUCUAUGUGAAUACUUAAAGUUUCAUGUUAAAGAUUUUCUCGAAAAGCUCCCUAGAUUGAGAGUUAUACCCUUUUUAAGGGGAGUAUGUCACUGAUGGCAAAACUUCCCAGAAAUUGUACUUGCUAAGUGUUAAUGUUCUUUAGUGAGUGCCAUGUGAUAUUCAACUAAUGAAUGUGAAUGCUACAUGAUGAGUACCAUGUAAUAUUCAGGUGAUGAAUGUGAAUCCUAUAUAAUGAUUGCCAUGUGAUAUUUAUGUGAUAAGGGUUUUAUGACUAGUGCCACGUGACAAGUGAUAAGUGGUAAGUGCCUAGUGAUAUGUGAUUUAUAGGCAUGCUUUAAGCAUGACCCUUCGAUAAUGAUAAGGUGGUAUAAGUGACACUAUGUACGAGUAGUCCAUGGUAGUGUGAUGGGAUCUAAUACGAAAUUGAUUGCCGACAGUGUUUUCUAAAUCUCUACGAUAGGAGGGGAGUUAGGAUGAGUGUGAAAUGGGAGGGUUGCACCCCCCGAACAAUAUAUGUGAUGCAGAAAGAAAAUAGUGAAUCAUGUCUUGCAAGGCAAGUGCCUAUCUGAAGCCCCAAAGUGUACUGGGGGCUACAUGUGUGAGUGUGAGGGCAGUACCAAAUGAGACACUCAUUGUCAUUGCCCUCUCUCCCGAGUGAUGUUAGAAGUCCUAAACAAUGGGAUUGACAUGACCUGAUGAAUAGGGCUUCUACUUCGGGAAUAGGUGAAUCUAAGGAGUGAGUGGUUAAUGAUUGGAUGUAUGAAUAUGAAUGAUGAUAGUUAUGCUGAUUAUAUGAUAGCCAUGAUAUUCGAUAUGCCAUCCAUGAUGAAUGUAUUUAUAAGAUUGCUAAAUUGAAUAUUUUUCCACCAUGAUUGCUUAUAGCCAAAAGAAUUAUUCAUGAUGCCUGGAUGGAUAUAUCAUUGAUGUAUAGCAACUAGUUCAUCUUACUAGGCUUUAUAACUCAUUCCUCUUUUUCCAUCCCUGUAGAGUAGAAGCUUUAGGUCAAGAACAACUGGUGGGAUCAUCGAUCUGGUCAAUGAAGGCUUGUAUCUUUUGUUUUUAUGUAUUUUGCGGUUGUGGGCCAUGUUUUUGUCGCUUUUGAAGUAAGAUGUUGUGUACCAGGCCAUCGGUGCCUUGAACAAUUGUAUUACUGAAAGUUGUUUAUGUAAUAAUAUAAGUUUCAGUUUUAUUUUACCCAGUCUCUUGUAUGGUUGUGUUUAGAUUGUUUUCUUUAUUUUUGUGGUUUUCUUUAAUUACCUUUUCUCUAAAACGAUGAGCGCACUCCGACCUGAGUGGCAUUCGUUACCUCUAUGAUCACGGUCCCUCAUCCUGUCGCCCUCUGAUGUGCCGUGUAGGGGCCAUGGAGUGGGGUCGUGAAAAAUUUCAAGAUAGUUUCAAAACAAAAUUUGAAGUUGAUACACAUAUCCUUUAUUUAAAAUUACUUUGAAGUCAUUUGAAUACCGUUUGAUCAGUCAAACGUUCAGUACAAAAUGAGUAACACUUCUGUAAUUUCUGCAACUUAUGACAGCGACAUGUCCACACACUCUGGGGCGUAAUUCCUAAUCAAUGAGGAAUUUCAAGAUAGUUUCCAAACAAAAUUUGAAUUAGAGACAUAUAUAUUUUAUUUAAAAGUAGUUUGAAGUCAUUUGGACACCGUUUGAUUAGUCAAAAGUUCAGCACAAAAUGAGUGACAGGUCUGUAAUUUCUGCAACUUAUGACAGUGACAUGUCCACACAUACGAGGGCAUAAUUCCUAGUCCAUGAAAAAUUUCAAGAUAGUUUCAAUUCAAAAUUUGAAAUAUACAUACAUAUAUUUCAUUUAAAAUUGGUUUGAAGUCAUUUGGACACUGUUUGAUCAGUCAAACGUACAGUACAAAAUGAGUGACAGUUCUGUAAUUUCUGCAACUUAUGACAGUGACAUGUCCACACAAUAUGGGGCACAAUUCCUAAUCCAUCAGAAAUUUCAAGAUAGUUUCUAAACCAAAUUUUAAUUAGACACGUCCAUUUUUUAAAUAAAGGAAGUUUGAAGUCAUUUGGACACUGUUUGAUCAAUGAAAAGUUCAUUUAAAAAACGUAUAGAGUUCUUGGAAUUCACAACAAAGCUUUGACAUACAUUAUCGAAUGAUCAAAAACUCCCAAACCAAAAUGGGUAUUAACUUAAGACCUUUUUCAUCUUAAAUUAGAUUCACAUGAGUACUAUUCCACAAAUUUUCAUAACCAUCAAAAGUACUUUCAAAGUUCAACUUAUCAUGCAAAUGAGAGCCUUAAACCUGAAAAAGCAGAGCCCAAAUAAGUACAAGUUUACUAACAGGCAGCCACAUCCCCAUGCUCAUACUGUUCUUAAAUCAAAACUAAGGAGACAUGAGUGUAAGAUCCACUUACCUGUGAUCAAAUGUGUCCCCAAAAUUCCCCAUGCAAGUCAAGCCCCAAGCUUUCCAUUAAUGGCUUUUAAAAGGGGUGGAAGCUCUAAGUGUUGAGAGUGGGUUUCCAAGAGUGGAAGAGAAAAACAAAAGCUUGAGAGAGGAGAGACGGGGCUUAAGUAGCUCAAUAGUGGGAGGUUGCAGCCCGAAAUUGUCAAGUGGCAUUCCCAUCCUCAUGCAAAUGGACAAGUGGCAUGUGUGACAACAUGCAGAGGACAAAUAGCUCAUAUGGGGUAUGCAUGGGCAUAACAUUACACUCACGACGACUGCUCCUCUUCACACACAACGAUUGAUGCUCGAUGCUAACAUUGACGGCAGCUAACACUGAUGGUGGCUGCCACUCAUGGUGGCAGCUCCUCUUCACACAUGGCGGUUGAUGCUCAAUGCUGACACUCACGGCAACUGACACUCACGGUGGUUGAUGCUCAAUGCUGACACUCACGGCGGCUGACACUCAAGGCGGCUGACACUCAAGGUGGCUGACACUCACAACGGCUGCUCUUCUCUCUUCUCCCUCUUACUGUCGUGCGAGUUCUCUUCACUGCCGCGCGUGUCUCCAAGCCCGAAAAUCUGGGUCGUUAACUUCCCCCCCCCCUUAAAAGAUAUUUUAUCCUCAAAAUCACAUCUCCGUUAAUCAAACAAAUGGGGGCACUUAUCCCUGAUCCCAUCUUCUCGCUCUCAGAUCGACUCCUCCCGAGAAUGGUACUACCACAACACUCGGACCAGAGGGAUCUCCUUGUUACACAACACAUAUACCCUUCUAUCCAGUAUCUCAAUUGGCCGCUCAAUGAAAGUCAGAUCUUUUCUGAUCAGAAUUGGCUUAUAAUUCAGAAUAUGUGAUGGGGUUGAUACUUCGUCAAUAGAGAUAUAUGGAAGACAUUGUGGACGUUUGCCAACCCUGGUGGUUGGGGAAGUCGAUACGCCACACUUCCAACUUUUUUCAGGAUCUCAAAAGGUCCAAUAUAAUGGGGGCUCAAAUUUCCUUUCUUAUCGAACCUGAUAAUGCCCUUAGUUUGAGAUACUUUCAAGAAAACCUGAUCCCCCACCUCAAACUCGAGGUCUAUUAUUCGGUUAUCGACAUAACUCUUCUGUCGAGUCUAAGCUAUCUUGAGCCUCUCUUGACUCGAAGAAAUCUUUUCUGAGGUUACUUCAACAAUUUCGAGGCUUAAGAGCUUUCUUUCACCAAUCUCAUUCCAACAAAUGGGUGACCUGCACUUCCUCCUAUACAGGGCUCAAAAGGGACCAUCUAGCUUGGAAGCUGUUUUUAUAGGCGAAUUCAAUCAGAGGUAGAUGAUCAUCCCAGUCCCCUUAAAAUCAAAGACAUGUGCCCUUAACAUAUCUUUCAGGGUCUGAAUGGUUCUCUCUGAUUGUCUAUCAGUCUGGGGGUGAAAGGCAGUGCUAAAAGUAAGUCUCGUCCCCAAGGCUGACUACAGACUAGCCCAAAAUCUAGAGGUGAAUCUAGUGUCCCGGUCGGACACGAUAUUGACUGGUAUUCCGUGCAGCCUUACUAUCUCCCUGAUGUAUAACUAGGAUAGUUUAUCCAAGGUAUAGGUCAUGCGGAUCGGCAAGAAAUGAGCAGCUUUGGUCAGCUAGUCCACAACGACUUAAAUACUAUUAUGUCCAGAAUUUGUCCUUGACAAACCAGAGACAAAGUCCAUAGCAAUGUGCUCCCAUUUCCAUUCUGGCAUGGGCAAGGGUUGCAGCAAUCCGACAGGCUUCUGAUGCUCAGCCUUCACUUGCUGGAAUGUGAAGCACCUAGAAACAAACACUGUUAUUUCUCCUUCAUGUCAAUCCACCAGAAGGUUCUCUUUAGAUCUUGAUACAUUUUGUGCUCUCUAGGUGCACAACAUAACGAGAAUGGUGCCGUUCUUCUAAAAUAGCCUUCUUCACAUCUUCGUCAUUAAGAACACAGACCUGAUCCCUGAAUCUUAACAAGUCAUCACCACUUACAGAGAAAUCAUCUUUUCUUUCCGGUUUUAUUUCUUCCAAAAUUUUCAUGAGCUGGAUAUCCUUCUUUUGUGCCAUUCGGAUCUGUUGAAAGAUUUGGGGCUCCAUCCUUAUGCAAGCGGCCAUACUUACCUCAUCACCAAGGGGAAGAGCUGAGUGCCAUUCCACCGCAUCUUCUAACAAUCUUAUCUCUCGAAUCAUUAAAUGUGUCACUGAUCCCAUGGGCUUCCUGCUCAGAGCAUCUGCUACUACAUUAGUCUUGCUUGGGUAGUAAUUGGUGGUACAAUCAUAAUCGUUCAAUAGAUCCAUCCAUCUCUUUUGCCACAUGUUCAACUCCUUCUGGGAAAACAGGUAUUUUAGGCUCUUAUCAUCAGUAAAUACCUUAAAUUGGGCUCCAUAGAGGUAGUAUCUUUAGAUUUUCAAGGCGAAUACUACAGCCGUAAGCUCCAAUUCAUGAGUUAGAUAAUUUUGCUCAUAUAUCUUUAACUGUCUGAAGGCAUAAGCAAUAACCUUUCCUCUCUGUAUAAGCACACACCCGAGCCCUUUAUGAGAAUCAUCGGUGUAGACCACAAAGUCCUCAUUUCCUUCGGGCAAGGUUAGUAUCGGAGCCAUAGUCAGUUUCUUCUUUAGUUCUUGAAAACUUUUCUCGCAAUCAUCUGACCACACAAACCUUACCUCAUUCUGGGUUAAGUGAGUAAGGGGAAAUGCUUUGAAAAUCCUUCUAAAAAGCGUCUAUAAUAACCUUCUAAUCCAAGAAAACUGCGGACCUUUGUCACAUUCGUUUGUCUUCCCCACUUAAGUACAACUUCAAUCUUACAAGGGUUAACCUCGACUCCAUCCUUAAAAACAAUGUGCCCCAGGAAGGCCACGCUAGGAAGCCAAAACUCACUCUUGCUAAACUUAGCAUACAACAUUUUUGAAUUCAGAGUCUGAAGGACCAUUCUUAGAUGUUGAUCAUGCUCUUCUAGGUUCUUCGAAUACACCAAAAUAUCAUCUAUAAAUACCACAACAAAAGUAUCUAGAAAGGGUCUGAAAUUAUAUUCAUCAGGUCCAUGAAAACAGUUGUGGCAUUAGUCAACCCAAACGGCAUUGCUAUAAACUCGUACUGGCCAUAUCGGGUUUUGAAUGCACUCUUGGGAACAUCUCCCUCCUUGACUCGCAGUUGGUGAUAGCCCGAUCGGAGAUCAAUCUUAGAGAAUACUUGGGCCCCUUGAAGCUGGUCAAAGAGGUCGUCAAUCAUAGGCAGGGGGUAUGUGUUCUUUACUGUGACUUGAUUCAACUGCCAAUAGUCUAUACACAGUUUCAUGGACCCAUCUUUCUUCUUCACAAACAAGACAGGUGCACCCCAAGGUGAUACACUGGGUCGGAUGAACCCCUUUUCCAACAAUUCAUGCAAUUGCUUUCUCAGCUCCUUUAAUUCGGCUGGGGCCAUCCUAUAAGGGGCUUUGGAGAUGGGAGUAGUACUAGGGACCAUAUCUAUCUCAAAUUCUAUCUUCCUUACUGGGGGCAAAGAGGUAAACUCAUCAGGAAAAACUUUUUAGUACUCUCUUACCACUGGUAUCUCCUCUAACUUAGACUGGACAUCCCGAUUUUCUACUAUGUAGGCUAAGUACCCAACAUAUCUUUUAGCCAGAAGACGGGAAGCCUGAAGGGAAGAGAUAAGUUGUAGAGGGGAAGCUCCCUUAAUACCAACAAAAAGCAACUCAUGCUGGUUUGGGUGUCUAAAGGUCACAGUUUUAUUGUAACAAUUUACUAUAGCAAGAUGUGUGGACAACUAGUCCAUGCCCAAGAUACUUAGGAUUAAUAUUCAAAAGUAUCAAAUCUAUAGGUAGAACACACUCUUAAAGCAAAACCCCACAUUGUUUAUAAACCAUAUCAGUCUCUAUAGAUUCCCCCAUAGGCGUGCAUACUACCAAUGUUGUCAAGAAGUGAAGGUCUAGCAUUUAUGUGGCAUGCAAAGUGAGGUGCAACAAAAGAAUGAGAAGAUUCAGGGUCAAUCAAAAUUCUAGCUUCCAUACCACAAACAGAGAGCUUACCUCGGAUUACAGAGGUAAACGCCUUGGCUUCCUACUCCAUGAGUGCAAACACCCGACCUUGCGUCCUUGGUCUGUUCUCUGACCCCUUUGCCAGGCAGUCCUUGAUCAGGUGGCCAUGCUUGCCACAUCGGAAACAUGACCCCGCCUUUUUAUAGCACUCGGCCCCAGAAUGGCCGCUUAACCCACAGUAAGAGCAGGCCAGACGCCGAUUAUCCCUUGUAUCACUCGGGAAGGCCUUUUGAAUCUUUGCAUUUCCCAGAUUGUUCCUUCCCUUAAACUCCCUCCUGGGAGGUGGUCGAGCCUUUCUCUUAAAAUUCCAGAUGGCAUGGCCCCACUCUUCCUUCCUUCCUCAACCGGGCUUCUUCAUAAUCCCUCUCGAUCUUCAUAGCAAAGUCCACUAAGGGAGAGAAGGUCUUCAGGUUAGCUGAAAUUACCCUUCCCCUUAGGUUUUGCCUGAGGGCCCUCUCGAACUUGUUCGCCUUUCGUGCCUCUUUUUAAUGAUGUGUGGCGCGUAAUGGGAGAGCUCCGCAAAUUUUGCUGCAUACUGUUCCACUGAUAAUCUCCCUUGCUGCAGCUCAAUGAAUUCCACUUCUUUUCUCUCUCUGAUCGAAUUCGAGAAAUAUUUAUCUUUAAAAGCUUCUAAGAAAUUCUCCUAAGUCGCCAUGGUCCCAAAUCCUUCCCAUGAUUGCUUCACUGAACCCGACCAAUGCUCAACAUCCCCUUCCAAAAUGAAGGUCCCCAGUCUAACCUUUUGUUCAUGUGAGCAAUGCAAUACCUCAAAUAUCUUUUCCACUAGCCAUCUCCAUCUCUCAGCUUUCUCCACUCCCCCAUGCCCCAAGAACACUGGAGUUUCUACCCUCCUGAAUCUCUAUAUUAGACAACUAUCAGUUUGGUCUGGGGCAGAGGUAGACGGGGCCGGCAUAGAAUCUUUCACCAUCUGAGUCAUGGCCCCAAAAGUCUUGAAGAAUUCUCUUAAAGCUUCGGUGUUCUCAUUACUCAAACUCGCAUUGUUAGCACGAGCCCUUGUCAUCUUGACCUAAAACAUGAACACCAAGAUACUAGCUUAUCCACAAGAACUACCCUAAGGACACUUCUAAGACUCUAUAGGCCAAGAAUCAUAUCUUGGCUGCUCUGAUCCCAUAACUGUCACAACUCCGCCCCCUGACUCCAAUCGUACAUAUUGGAGGGAAAAAGGUGUGGAACUACGAUUGGACGUAGCGAAUGACACUCAUGUGGGAGUGCGCUCAACGCUUUUUAGAAGGCAGAAUCAAAGAAAACCACGAAAGAAAUAAAAAACCAAACACAAAGGUACAAGGAUCUGGACAAAAUAAAAUCAACUUAUAUAUAUAGGCUUCAAAUUUUAAUUUCAAUCACAUUCGAGGCACUACAGGCCCAACAACAAAAUAUAAGAUUUCUCACAAAACAACUAUGUGGCCACAACAACCAGACACCUACUAUUAAGGUAAAGCUUUCUCUCGUCAAGCCCAAAACUUCAGCCAACAACCACCAGUGCCCAGCUGCUCUCUCUCAAGGACCGUAGGUUGUCACUCUACAUAGAGAAAGAAAAUAAAAGGGAUGAUCUAUAUAGCCUAGUAAGCGGAUCAACAUCAUGCAUUCCGACCGACAAAAUGAUAUUCAUAAACAUUACCCAAAAAUUCAAGCAGGUGUCAGAACAUGGACUCAUGUGUCACAAUUCUUUCAGAAAUGGUGUGCGAACCAUAAAAUCAGAUAUUAGAAUAUCAUAUAUCGCAUGAGCUAACAGUUACUCCAUCAUUAGUCAUAAUAGUAGAUCAGAAUAACAUGCAAUUUACUUAGUGUGUACAGGCAAUCAUAGUGUUGCCUACUUCAGAAGUAGAAAUCCCAUCGAUCAGGCUAGGCUAGUCCUAUAACUUGGAACUUCUACUCUCAUUCAAGAGGGAAGACAAUGACAAAUGGGGAACCCAUUUCAUAAUUUCUUCACGUACACACACAAUCUUCAGCGCACUUUGGAUCUUUCAAUAGGCUGUGGUCAUGCAAGACACGACCCUAUCCUUACGCCUUCUAGGCAAGAGGGCGUUGCACUAUCAAUGGGUGACCCAAUACGCAAUGCCCAUAUCGAUCUAGGGGGGCACGAGCCUCCCAAAUAUUCACAUUCACAUCUUGACUCCAUUCCUAUCAUUGGGGUGGGGUAGGAUCAUAACUGUCGGCAUCUUAUCUCAUCAGAACUGAUUACACUACCAAUGGAUAACCUGUUGUGUAGUGCCUUAUAUCAAAAGUCUCAGAAAUCUCAUAUCAUACUACCAAUGGAUGUCCCAUUGUGUAGCAAUUCAUAUCGUAGGCUUAUUACGAAAAAUUCCCACUAUUGAUGGAUGUCCCAUUGCGUAGUGGUUCAUAUCACAGGCUUAUCACAACAGAUUCCCACUACCAAUAGAUGUCCCAUUGGGUAGAGGUUCAUAUCACAGGCUUAUCACAACAGAGUCCCACUACCAAUGGAUGUCCCAUUGCAUACUGGUUCGUAUCAUUUCAAAUCAUAACCAUGCACAUGUAUAACUCAAGCAUUAAUUCAUUCAUGCCCAAGCAUGUCAAAUCACAAUUUUUCAAGAGUUCAUAAGCAUUCACUAUAUCAUAAGCAUGCAUAUUCAAUACUUCAUAACAUAACAUAAUUUUCAUCAUGACAGCCUCUUAAAAUACGACCUAACUUCCCUUCCAUGGGGAUCUUAGUCACAGUCCCAAAAGUAACUUGAACAAAAACUCAUCCACCUUUCAUUUAGAAGGGUUUUGCCCUUAAUCAGAGAUAUAUUGGUCAUAUACCAGUCUUUCAUAAAACAAGCAAUAUUUCUGAAAUUUUUGCAACUGAUAACAGUGAUAUACCCACACAAAUAGAGGCAUAAGUCUCAAUUUAUGAGGAAUUCAUAGAUAGUUUCCAAACUAUAUUUGAAGUAGACAUACAUAUAUUUCAUUUAAAAUGGUUUGAAGUAAUUUGGAUACCGUUUAGUCAGUCAAAGGUUUAGUGCAAAAUGAGUAACUGUUCUGCAAUUUCGGCAACUUAUGAUAGUGAUAUGUCCACACAUUUUGGAACAUAGUUCCUAAUCCAAGAGGAAUUUAAAGAUAGUUUCAAAACCAAAUUUGAAUUAGACACACAUAUAUUUAAUUUAAAAGAAUUUUGAAGUUAUUUAGAUACUGUUUGAUUAGUCAAAAGUUCAGUACAAAAUAAGUGACAGUUCUGCAAUUUCAGUAAGAUAGUGACAUGUUCACACAUUCUGAGGCAUAAUUCCUAAUCCAUUAGGAAUUGAAAGAUAGUUUCAAAGAAAAAUUGACAUAGACGCACAUAUAUUUAAUUUAAAAUUAGUUUAAAGUCAUUUGGAUACCGUUUGAUCAGGCAAACGUUCAGUACAAAAUGAGUGACAGUUCUGUAAUUUCUGCAACUUAUGACAGUGACAUGUCCACACAAUCUGGGGCAUAAUUCCUAAUCCAUGAGGAAUUUAAAGAUAGUUUCAGGCCAAAUUUGAAUUAGACACAUAUAAAUUUCAUUUAAAAGUAGUUUAAAGUCAUUUGGACACCGUUUGGUCAGCAAAAGCUUAGUACAAAAUGAGUUUUAAUUUCUGCAACUUAUGAUAGUGACAUGUCCACACAUUCUGGGGCAUAAUUCCUAAUUCAUGAAGAAUUUCAAGAUAGUUUCAAAACCAAAGUUGAAGUAUACACAUUCAUAUUUCAAAUAAAGGCAGUUUGAAGUUAUUUGGAUACCUUUUGAUCGAUAAAUAGUUCAUUUCAAAAACGUGUAAAGUUCCUAGAAUUUCACAAUAAAGCCGUGGCAUACAUUAUAGAAUGAUAAAAAACUCCCAAAUGAGAAUGGGUAUUAACUUAAGACCUUUUUCAUCUUAAAUUAGAUGCACCUGAGUGCUAUUCCCCUCUUUUCAUAACCAACAAAAGUAUUUUCAGUGCUCAACUUAUCAUGCAAAUGAGAGCCUUAAACCUGGAAAAACAGCCCAAACACGUACAAGUUUACUAAUUUGCAGCCACAUCCCCAUGCUCGUACUGUUCUUAAAUCAAAACUAAGGAGACAUGAGUGUAAGAUCCAUUUACCUGUGAUCAAAUGUGUCCCCAAAAUUCCCUACGCAGUUCAAGCCCCAAGCUUUCUAUUAAAGGCUUUUCAAAGGGUGGAAGCUCUAAGUGUUGAGAGUGGGUUUCCAAGAGUGGGUGAGAAAAACAAAAUCUUGGGAGAGGAGAGGCAGGGCUUAAGUAGCUCAAGAGAAGGAGGUGGCAGCCUGAAAUUGCCAGGUGUCACUCCCAUCCUCAUGCAAAUGGACAAUUGGCGUGUGUGAUGGCAUGCAUAGGACAAAUGGCUCCUAUGGGGCAUGCAUGGGCUUAACAUUACACACACAAUGGCUAGCCAAAAUACUCAUUGCGGCUACUCCUCUUCACACAACAGUUGAUGCUCGAUGCUGACACUCACAGCAGCUGACACUCAUGGUGGCUGCUCCUCUUCACACACGGCAAUUGAUGCUUGAUGCUGACACUCACAGCGACUGCAAUCACGACAGUCGCUCUUCUUCACACACAGCGGUUGAUGCUCAAUGCUAACACUCACGGCAGCUAACACUCAAGACGGUUGACACUCAAGGCAGCUGAAACGCACGACGGUUGCUCUUCUCUCUUCUCCCUCUUACUAUCGUGUGCAUUCUCGUCACUGCCACGUGUGUCUCCAAGCUCAAAAAAUCUGGGUCGUUACACCUAACCUUAUAUAUAGGGGAUGAAAGAGCGGAGAAUUUGUGUGCCCUAUUUGGAUCAACAUAUGGGAAAGGUGGCUUCCUCUUGGGAGAGAAGGGAAAAGGUGUUUGUAGUCAUUUUCCAUCACUUGUAUACUUGGUAUGAAUAAAGAGAGAGCAGUUCGUGGCUUAGGUCCGCAGGUACCAAAGUGCCUGUAGACUACGAAAGCCGUAGGACAAUAAGCCUUGAUCUGGAAGUGGAAUUUUUAUCAGUCUCAAAAUGGAUUGAGAACAUGUAAGAACGUGGCUAAGGGUCUUUGAAGAACACCUACCAAGUUUUGUUGCAAUCCGACAAUAUUAAGGCAGUGCAGACAACAAAACAGUUUCAGGAAAUCUUGCUUCUUUCAUGCUGAAAAUGGGCUUUGAAGUACAAAACUAUUAUUGGAGCGUUAAAUGGUCUCCAGACCAUCGCCAUUGGAUCCACAAUAGUCGAAAACCUUUAGGUAUCAAUAUUCAGCCCUUUUGGACUUCUGAAGCAAGUUACGGCCAAAUUACCCAAAAUGGGUAGGCCGUACACUAUUACAGUGCACCCUCAGUCAACCAGUUUCCAUUAAUGGAAACUGUGCAUCACCCUUUUCAGAGAAACCGUCACAAGGUCAUAUAUUCUUCAUCCCGAGACAGAUCGAGCCAAAAUUUUGGGAGAACGUUCGUCUCGUAGACCCGGUCGAUUUGAUAUAUGGCACCCACGGUGACAUGACCCUAGCCGGGAGAAAUCAAAGAGAGAAGGUCGCCAGAAAAACCCAAAAGUUGUAGGAAAAUUCCAGCCACACGUCCCUCCGAUCAUUCUCCUACAUCACAGUGCUCGCCCAUCGAAUCGACCCCAAACCAGACCCAUUACUAGCACGAGGUAAGAGGCUUCAUCUGAGCUGAACUUUGCAUGUGAUGGACGGUCAGAUUCACACACGAUGAAUCCGAAGUUGCUGCAAUUCCGGCCACCGGAAUCCAAAUUCCGGCCAAAGUUUUCCAAUUUGGAAAAUAAUAAUCCGAGCAUCAAAUCGAAUCGUUCUUUUGCAGAACGAUCAUGGCGACUUGCUCGUUACACUACAGUGAAGAAAUCAACAGAAAACACUAAGAAACAGGCUGAACCUUAAAAUUAAGAUUUCACUUUUUUUCAUGUUUUUGCCACAUCAUGAUCAUGGUUCACAACUCAGAUCCAUGGCCCAAAAUUGGUACCAAAAUGAUCGUCUUCUCGAGCUCAUCAAGAAAACAGUAAUCUUCAGCCGGAUGGUGACUGGAAAAGCCCUGAAUCAGCCAUAGAAAGUUCGCACGAUUGAACGACCAUUACAGAGAUUGAUUUGGAAUUAAUCAGAUUGUUCGUGAGGGGGAAAAAUUGUCAUUUUACCCAUUUUCUUAGAUUUUCUUUAAUUCUUUUAAUGCCUAAUUAUUGCUUGAGGCCACCCGAAAGCCGCCCCUUCUUCUCCUGCGACUGGCCGGUCAUCUGCCAUUGCUCCAACGGGUCACCGCGAGGUUACCCCCCAUCCUCUAUCACCUUGGGACCCUAUAACAAGAGGCUCGACACCAGGAGGUGGCGGCUCUAAAGCCACCACCUCACACACACCCACUAAAUCUAGUGGAACAUCCAUACUAGCUACACCUCGGGGAAACCCUCAGGUUACCUUAGGACAUAGUCAGGGUUCGGAUCUUCUUGAACCUAGCCCUGCACAUAUUUUGCAUGCACACCGCACCACACAGGGCAACCUUCAGGUUACCUUGGGAUACUGUCAGGGUUCGAGUCUUCUUGAACUUGGCCCUAUACAUCCUAUGCAUUGCAACACUCGGUGCAACUCUAAGGUUACCUUUGGGUAUGGUCAGGGUUCGGCUCUUCUUGGAUCUGGCCUUGCGCACUCCUUGCGUAUGCACUACAUAGCUCGGGGCAGCCUUGCUGCUGCGUCGUCUCGAGCACACGAGGAGGAACCUCCUAGUCCCCUCUCCCAGCACAUGCCUGCUCACUCUGUGAGGGAUGGUCAUACGGCCAUUCCAUCGCACACACAUGCUCACGACAGUAAGGCUCUUACGGCCGGACAUGCUACUCGAGCUAGGGUUGACCCCAAAGUCACCCGUAGUCCUUCUUCAAGGGGCGCACACAUGCCAAUCCCUCCACCCUCCCUUAGCACACCUUUGCACUGUGCACACAUGCACAGAUCCAAAACUUCCUUUACUCUGAGGGCAAAGAAAAGAACAUCAUUGAAGACUUUUCUUUCGGAGAUGAGAGCCUCUUCUCCCCCCUAACUCCCCUUGAUGCGGAUGAUGCUGGAAAGGCAUGGCAUGAGGUGAACACUAAAAAGGCUACUCGGGGUAGGAUGAAGCUAGUUAUCUAUGGAGAUCCAAGUCCCACCCGGGGCAAAGACCAGCCUACGAACAGGGCAAAGAGCUAGUUUGACCCCAGUGACCCCAUCAAUCUUGAGUCAAUUGCGCCAUCACCCGAUCAAACACCAAAACCCAUUUCACGUCAGGACAUUAAGAGCAAUGGUUUCUUUGAGUAGACUGAGCUCGGGGCAGCUCGUGGGCCUGAAUCACAUUCCCCUAGACUCCUGUUGAGCUGGAAGGCACCACUACGGGGCAGUCCCGGUGCCUCAAGUACGAUGGAAGCCAAACCCACCGACUGCACUGUCCAUGACCCCUUUAUCGUGGAGAGUUUGAUCUGUGGAGAGAAAGGUCCCCUUCCCAUAAUGCAAAAGAAUGAUCUACUAUGUCCCCCCAAAGUCUGCCUCGACAUCUCGGCUCCCAAGGAUGUAGCUGAAAAUUGAGCCGCUUCAAGGGUUUGAGAAAUUCAUUGACGACGUUGACCUUUUGAACAAGAAGGGGACUUUGCCACUAUCCACUUUCCUUCUGUCUUUGCAUAGAUUCAUCAUAUAAUCUUGGAGACGUGAUGGACAAUCAUCUGCUCUCGUUGGUUCAAAUGAUGCGGCCUUCCUCGCUUGCUCUUACCUAGACAUUUUUACCUCUGAUGAGAACUCGUCACUCUCAUUCGAGGAAAGCUGCUCCCUAGUAUUGAAUGAGAUGAGUUGUGCCCCUGUUGACAGCCCUGCUCAAGCAGACCCUCCAUGCCCUGAGAACACCAUGACUCCCUACAAAGUCAACUGCCGGCUCUCUCUAUACCGUGAAUGCCUCAUAUGCGUUUUUAAGGAUGAUAAUAAAUGCUUGUUGUCCUAUGAGAGGUUCAGGUUCUCUCUUGAUGGUAAAGAGCCCUCAAGUAUAGUUGGUGACGAAACUAUGAUGAUCACUGAAGUACCAGAAUCCUAUGAAGACGAGAUCGCACGGCUUAAGGCCACAUUAAGGCAAAUAUAAGCUGAGAUGAGAUCAAGGGAUGAAAUCAUAAAAAUCUUGCGUCAAGAGCUAUCGACAUCACGUAGACUUGAGCGUAUCCCCUCUGAGCACCAAUCCCUCUUUACUAUCCCUCAAGCACCGCGUCUGGUCAUUGAAAUAAGGUCAUCGAGAGAAGAGAUAGUCCAGCCCUCGCCUCCCUCAUUGACAAAGCCUGGUAGCCAAAGCAUAAAAAUAUGCGAUCUCUCAGUGACAGAGAAGGUGAAUCAUUACCAGAAGCCUCACCCAGCUUAUGAUCAAACUUUAUUGCCACAAGGAGGCCAAAGACUCGACUUCCCCAAGUACAAUGCCAUGCACUCCGCAAGACAAAGCUGACACAAGGGACAUAUGCAUAAUCCCCAAGAUUCUUGAAACUCUCUCAUCUAAGGGGAUGAUCAAUCUACCUAAGGUAAACAGACGAAUAUGGUGAAACCAGAAAGGGCACCAUGGGUAAAAGUGUCAAAGAAAAGAAGAAAAAGAAACAAAAGAAAAAUGACGGGGCAUGGUAGCAUCACCAACUAUCGUGGGAAAAAUUCGUCAAAUAAAAAUCCGAAAGGGACUCACGUGCCACAAAACGUUUUUAGGGUCCUGUGAAACCUAAAAAUGGCACAUGUCCGAAGGGCUUAAACGAAAAUCCAACAGGGCAUUUGAGUAAAAACGAUACGUGUGGGAACACACGUAGCACUUAAUGGUUCGCAACUACUGAAGGGUAAUGCUACCUCACUGCCGUGUGCACAUUCUUACCAGCACGAUUGUCCAUACUGCCAUGCGUGUCUCUUAAGAUAACGCCACUGUGUACGUUGUGUUGAAGGCCCACCGCGUGCUUCUUUCUGUCCAGAUCGUCGAGCGCAUGCCACCGAGCCGGUCUCCCCUCGCUUACUGCUGAGCGUGCCACUCACCCAUGCUGCCAAGCGUGUUCCCUCUACAAAGUGUUGUCCUACGCAUUCUGCCGUCACGUGCGUUUCGACCCCCAGUCUGUUGUGCAAAAAUACUAUCAUUGAGCUCGCUUUUGCCGCAUGACUGUUGUCGUGAGCCUUGCGUUUUGCCACCUUAUGCGCACCUCAAAGUCCACUAUUGUGCAUAAGUCCCUAAGAUGAUGGCCAUGCAUGCCUUGUUGCAUGCGCUUCCAUGCAUGCCUUCCCUAGCCGGCCUAUUCGUUUGCGCAUCGGUAAGGUCCGACCCUCACCACCUCUCCAUCCCCAUGGAAGUCACAUUCAUGCCCUAAUCUCUUAUCCCCAGGGAAUCACACCCACUUCCUAAUCCUCAGUAAGUCCGCUUCCGCCUACCAUCCCUAACUAAGCCACCAUCACCAUCUGAAGCCACUGCCCAUAAAUCGUCUCGGCCAUUUCAUCACCAGUGAGUCAGACUACCAUCCACAAGCCCAUUCCCCAUGGAACCUCAUCCACUUCACAUAUCUUAGUGAGUCCACCCCUUAUUGGCAACCCACAUACAUGGUGACUCAUCACGGUCCAGCUGUAUGAUCAUAAACUAUAGCGCACAUCCUGACCGCGUGACGUUUAACUACUUCACAUAACAAUCCAGCUGUGUGACCCUAAACUAUAAUGCUCGUCUUGAUAGCAUGACAUUAAACUAUUUCGCACAACGGUCUAGCUGUAUGACCAUAAACUAUAGUGCACGUUCUGGCCGCAUGACAUUAAACUGCUUCGCAUAAUGAUCCAGUUACAUGACCCUAAACUGUAGCGCUCUUCCUAGCUGCAUGAUGUUAAACUACUUCGUACAAUGGUCUAGCUGUAUGAUCCUAAAUUAUAGUGCACGUCCUGGCCACAUGACGUUAAACUGCUUCGUAUAACGGUCCAAUUGUAUGACCCUCAACGGUCUAGCUGUAUAACAGUAAAUUAUAGUGCACGUCCUGACCUCAUGACGUUAAACUUCUUUGUACAACGGUCCAGCUGUAUGACCCUAAACUAUAUUGCACAUCCUGACCGCAUGACAUUAAACUGUUUUUCACAAUGGUCCAACUGUAUGACCAUAAACUAUAGUGCACAUCCUGGCCACAUGAAGUUUAACUACUUUGCUCAGGUCCUGGAGGCAUGACCUUAAACACACCUCCAUGCAUAUUUUUACGACAUUCAUUUCCUUCUCAGUGAGUCCAUUUCCAUUACCCUUUAUGAACUCGUCAUAUUCCCCAGUGGGUCGAACCCACUCUCACAAAACCACGAUGAGCCAUUCCAUCAUCCAUACUCACCGACAGCUAUUGGGUUACCCCUUGUCCACCUUCCAUAAAAACACAAUGCAUCAUUCACAGAUAGUCUCGUGCCAUCUCCCCCAAGUGAGUCAAACCUCCACCAUACUCACCCUAUGGCCUCCACAGACUGUCAUCCAUCGCCAUCAUGGUCUAGUUGUAUGACCUUAAACUAUAGUGCAUGUCCUGGCCGCAUGACUUUAAACUGCUUUGCCCAAGUCCCAGAGUCAGGACCUUAAACACGCCUCACAAAAAAAAGAAAAAAUGGGCAUGGUGUAAACCCGAAAGGGGAACGUCAUGAGUAAAAAUGACGAAUCGGCAUAGUCACGAAACCAUGAGUGAGAGAUUUUCGUAAAUAAAAACCUGGCACAGUGAAACCUGGUGUAGACUGGUGUAACAGCAAACAAUGUCACAAAACGUUCGACGAGGGUGAAGAGUCUAAAAGCAUCUUGUACGUCCAAUGGGGUGUAGACUCUAAAAUCAUCCCUAAAGUCUCCACGACUAGGUCUACAACAAGGUCCCCAGCCAUCUGAGCGGCUUGGUCACCCCUCCGGGAAGUAACUGCACAAGUAUCCCUUUUACGUUCGUGUGAUCCAGUGUCCAAGAAGAAAACUAAAGUCGAAGGAACAAUUUUGUUUCCGAAUGUUAUACUUCUCGCUUCUCUUAAAGCACAACAUUUGGAGGGGCAAUCUGUUUGAGGUCAUUUUCCAUCACUUAUAUCCCCGGUGCGAAUAAGGAGAGAGCAGUUUGCGACCUAGGUUCGCAGUUACCAAAAUGCCUGUGGACUACAGAAGCUGUAGGACAAUAAGCCCUGAUUCAGAAGUGGAAUUUUCGUCAGUCUCAAAAUGGCCCAACAACAUGUAAGAAUGUGGCUAAGGUUCUCCUAAGAACACCUGCCAAGUUUCGUGGCAAUCCGAUAAUUUUAAAGAAGUGUAGACGACAAAACAGUUUCGAGAAAUCUUGCCUUUAUCAUGCUGAAAAUGGGUUUUAAACUACAUCACCAUUAUCAGAGCAUCACAUGUUCUCUAGAACAUUACCAUUGGAUCCAGAAUGGUCAAAAGCCUCCAGGCAUCAAUUUUCGACGCGUUUGGACGCUUCUAAAGCAAGUUACGUCUAAAUUACCCAAAAUAGGUAGGUUGUACACUAUUAUGGUACGCCCUCCGUCAACCAGUUUCCAUUAAUGGAAACUGUGCAUCACCAAUUCGAGGGCAAACUUCACAAGGUCAUAUUUUCUUCAUCCCUAGUCAGCUUGAGCACAAAUUUUGAGAGCACGUUCGUCUCGUCCACCCGGUCGAUUUGAUAUGUGGCACGCACAGUGACAUGGCCAGAUCCGGGAGAAAUCGAAGAGAGAUGUUCUUUGGAAAAACCCAAAAUUUGCAGGGAAAUUCCAGCCAUGCCUCUCUUCUAUCAAACUCCCACAUCACAGUGCUCGAACUUCGGAUCGGCCCCGAUCUAGACCCAUUAUGAGCAUGAGGACAUAAGCUUCAUCUGAGCCUAACCUCACGUGUGACGGAUGGUCAGAUUCGACGCAUGAUGAGUCCGAAGUUGCUGCAAUUCCAGCCACCGGAAUCCAAACUCCAGUCAAAGUUUCCCAAUUUAGAAAAUGGUCAUCCGGGCAUCAAAUCGAGCCAUUAUUUUUGUAGAACAAUCGUGGAAACUUGCUCGUUAUGCUUUAAUGAAGAAAUCAGUGAAAUACACUGAGAAACGGGUUGAUUCUUAAAAUUAUGAUUGCACAUUUUUCUAUGUUUUUUCCAUGUCAUGAUUAUAGUUCAAAACUCAAAUCCAUGGCCCGAAAUUAGUACCAAAAUGAUCGUCUUCUUGAGAUCAUCAAGAAAAAGUAAUCUUUCAAUUAGAUGGUGACCAGAAAAACCCCGAAUCAACCACAAAAAGUCUGCAGGAUUGAACGACCAUUACAAGGACUGAUUUGGAAUUAUUUAUAUUGUUAGUGCAGGGGCAAAAUUGCAAUUUUGCCCCAUUUUCUUAGAUUUUCUUUAAUUAUUUUAAUGCCUAAUUUUUAACAAUUAGGUCACAAAUUGAUUGUACACCCAUGUUUGGGUCCCACUUCUAUGUAAGCAACAUACCAUCUACAUGUAAAGGGCCCUUCUUUUAUCAAUAAAAAAAAUCCUUUCUUGCACGAGUGUUAGGACACGAAAGGAGAGAGAAAUUUGCACGGACACCCCUAGGUAACUUUCUCUCUCCUCUCUCUCCUUCUCCCUUCUCUCUCUUCUCUUUCUCUCUCCCCUCUCUCCUUCUCCCUUCUCUCUCUUCUAUUUCUCUCUCUCUCCUUCUCCCUUCUCUCUCUUCUUCUCUCUUUUCUUUCUCUCUGUCCUUUUAGUUUUUCUCUUCUCUCUAUUAUCUUUCUCUCUCUUCUCUCUCCUUCUCCCUUCUCUCUAUUCUCUUUCUCUGUCUUCGUUCUCCUUCUCCCUUCUCUCUAUUCUCUUUCUCUCUCUUUUCUCUCUCUAUUCUCUCUCUUUUCUUUUCUUCUUUUAUCUCCCUCUCUUCUUUCUCACUCUUCUUUUCUUUCUCUCUUCUCUUUUUUCCUUUCUCUCCUCUCUUCUUUCCCUUCUCUCCAUCUUUCCUUUCUCUCACAUCUUCUUUCUCCUUCUUUUUGUUCUCUUUCUUUCUCUCUCUCUUCAUAGGGGCAGCAACGUGGGCCUACCCUUUUUGGCGGGCAUCGAUGCAACCUCUGUGUUCUCUCUUCUUCUUUGUAUUCUCUCUCUUCUUCUCUCUUCUCGCUUUCUCUCUCUUCUCUUUCUCUCUCUUCUCUUCUCUCUUUCUUUCUCUUCUCUUCCUCUCUCUUCUCUCUCUAUUCCCUUUCUGUCUCUCCUCUAUCUCUUCUUUCUCUCUUCUUUCCUCCCUUCUUUCUUUUCUUUCUCAUCUCUUCUUUCCUCUCUCUUUUUAUUCCCUUUCUCUCCCUUCUUCUUUCUCUUUCUUUCUGCUCUCUUUCUUUCUCUCUCUCUUCACAAGGAAACCAAUGUGGGCCUAUCCUUUUUGACGAGCCUUGAUGCAGCCUCUGUAUUUUCUCUCUCGAUCUCUCUCCUUUCUCAGGGAUAGCAACGUGGGCCUACCCUUUUUGGCAGGCCUCAUUGUGGUCUUUGUGUUUCUUCUCUCUCUUCUUUUUUUCUUCUUUCUUCUCUGUCUCUCUUUCUCUCUCUUUUCUAUGACAGAUGGUAGCAUUAGUUGCCGCCUAUGUUGAUUCUCUCUCUUCCCCUUGUUUGACACAAACAGUAGUAUAAGGCGCCGUCUGUGUGUCCUCUCUCUUCACAGACGGCAGCAAGCCGCCGUCUGUGUUCUACCUUUCUCUCUUUUCACAGACGGCAGUAAGCCACUAUUUGUGCUCACUCACCUUCUCUCUCUUCAUAGGCGAUAGCAAGCCGUUGUCCGUGUUCCUUCUCCCUCUCUCUUCAAAGACGACAGCAAGCCGCUGUUUGUGUUUUCUCUCUCCCUCAUUUCUUUCUUUAGAGACAGUAGUAAGCCGCCAUCUGUGUUCCUUCUCUCUCUCUCUUCACAAACGGUUGCAAGCUACUGUUUGUAUUUUCUCUCUCUCCUUUCUUUCGUCACAGACGGCAGCAAGCUGUUGUCUAUGUCUCCUCUCUCUCCUUAUUCUUCAGAGAUGACAGCAUGCCGCUCUUUGUGUUCUACAAUCCUCUCUCUCUUCACAGACAGUAGUAAGCCACUGUAUGUGCUCAUCACCUUUCUCUCUCUCUCUUCAUAGACGGUAAUAAGCCAUCGUCUAUGGUCUCUCUCUCUUCUCUCUUCAAUGAUGGCAGCAAGCCGCCAUUUGUGUCUUUCCUUCCUUUUUUUCUCUCUCUAUCUCCUUCUCUUUCUUUCUCUUCCUUCUAAUGUCUUUUCUCUAUCUAACCCUUUUUCUCUCCCCCUUUACUUUAAAAUUUGUACUAAGAGUCCCUUGUCAAGGAGACACUGUAAGGCUGUCAAAUCAGCAUGGACUCCAUCAUGAUAUUUUUCCAUUUUCUUUUGAGUACGCAUGCAUGUGUGCGCUCACCCCUAUGAUAAGGUGGGUUCUUUAGAACCACUUGUCUUGUAUUCUAAUAUGCGUGUGACUAUAGGAAAAGAAGAAAUACGUAAAAGGAGAUGAUUUUGAACUGGCCACAAACCUAGGGGGCAAUCCCACCUCACACCUUAAUUCCUCUCUCACCGGUUGGUAUUCGUGCCUGUGUCUUUCUCACACGAUUCACAAGAGAGCGGUCUCAGGUCCUGGGUCUAUCUCGAACCCGUAACCAUGCCACCAGGUCAUUCCGACCUGAGGGUGAGAUCUAGGCACUUAACCAGUAGCGCCUUCCAGUGCAUGAGAUGCACUAUGAAAGAAGAGAGCUUCUUAUGGAGAGAAACACUAUGAUUGUUCCUCAUGUAGAUUGAGAGAUGCUGGUUUAUUGUAGAGAAGCAGUUCCCAUGGAGAUUUUGGGUGGUUUUUCCUUUUAAUUAACUUGUGGACUCCUGAAGAUUGAGAUAUUGGUUUCUUAUAAGGAAGCAGUUCCCACAGAGAUUUCUUAUUGACUCCUAAAGAUUGAAAGGUUGGUUUAUUGUAGAGAAGCAGUUCCCAUGGAGAUUUUGAGUGGUUUUCUCUUUUUGUUAGAUAAAAUUCAGUUGCUUUAAAAGUUAUCUUUCUAGACAGUGGUCUAGUUAGGGUAUCUUCCUAGACAAUGGUUUAGUUAUGGAAUAGAGAUGAGAGAUCAGCUAUGGUGUCAUUUAGGAUAGCAGGUUUUGCUCUACUAAGUUUUGUCUAGUUGAGGGUUAGAGAGGUAACUAUGGUCCAAAAUCUUUGAUGUACCUUUCAUUAGUAUAAUGGAUUUCAUUUUGUCGUUGCUCGUGGAUGUAGCCCUUCUAGGGUGAACCACAUAAAUCUUUGUAUUCUUGUAGCAGGCAUUUCAUUGUAUAAUUCUUGUAAUUGAAUUGCCAAAAAAUUAACCCAUCGGGUUUAGAGCUUCUGCACACAACAAUUUCCAUAUCUAUUGUUAUCUCAACAUCGUUUCCAUAUCUUAAUUAGGGAGGCACAAGAGAGAAAUAUUUUCAUAUCCUCCGUCUCUUCCUAUUUUUUUAAAACCUCAUAAAGUUUGAUCCCACCUUUUCCUAAAAGUUGUGCAUGUAAGUCAUCCCCCAAAAAAAAAUUUCCCUUAUUUUUUUGGUUCAAACCUCCUAAAAUGGAUACCUAUCCCCAAUUCAACCCUUGUUGUGCCCAACUAAUCACGAGAAAGAGAAGUACCGACAAUUUAAAAUUUGAUAAAUAAAAAAAAGUAAUUUAUUUAGUUUUAAUAAUAUAUAGGAGAAAUAAAAAUUAAUCUAUCUUAUUAUAGUAAGCAUAUAUAGGAGAAAUAAAAAUUAACAUAUCUCAUUAUAUAAUAAUAUAUGGACCCGGUUUUUAUGCGGACAAGCCCUCAUAUGUAGAAAUGUGGGCAUAUUAAUAAAUAUGUUUUUGAGAUGGAUUUUUGGACUUAAUUUUUUAACGAGAUGUAAUCUCUAACAUAGAUAUAAUGAAUAUAAACUAAUAAUUAAAUUUAAAAAACUAGAAAAAAUAAUUCUAAUAAGAGAACAUUUGGACCAUUGGUUUCCAUUGUUUUUAAAUGGCACACCUACUUGCAUCCAUAUUAAGCUUUACACUUUUUGGACUGCAUAUGUAGUCAUGCGUUCUAAUCGGCAUGAAACAAUUUUUCAUAAUAUAUAUAGGAGAAAUAAAAUUCAAGAGAGAGAAAGAUAUGUUAUCAUAUCAAAAAUUAUGUUUUCAUAUCUUAAUGAGAGAGAGAGAUAUUUCCAUAUCGAUGAUUAACUUUCUAUAUUUUAAAUUGAGAGAGAGAGAGAUCAACAUUCUUCUAUGUGUUAAUGAGAUUUCCUUAUCCAUCAUUAUUCAACAUUGUUCUUCCUAUUUUUUAAAAACCUUUUAAAGUUGGCAACAAUUAGAUCUUGCUUCUUCUUGUCCUUUUCUUCUUUUUUUUUUUUUGGUCCUACCCUUUCUUAAAAAUUGUGCAUGCAAGUCAUCCCUAAUAUUUUUUCCCCCUAUUUUUUUGUUCAAACCUCCUAAAAUAAGUACAUAUCCCCAAUUCAACCACUAUUGUGCUCAACUAAUCAAUCUAAAAUUUAAGAACUAUGAAAAUUUGACAUAUUNNNNNNNNNNNNNNNNNNNNNNNNNNNNNNNNNNNNNNNNNNNNNNNNNNNNNNNNNNNNNNNNNNNNNNNNNNNNNNNNNNNNNNNNNNNNNNNNNNNNNNNNNNNNNNNNNNNNNNNNNNNNNNNNNNNNNNNNNNNNNNNNNNNNNNNNNNNNNNNNNNNNNNNGAUAAUGGAUGCAAUAUGCACUAAUUUUUGGACUCAAAAUAUUUUUUUUUACACAUUCAUACAUCUCGAUGUCGAGAUGAUCAAUUAGAAGGUCUUUCAACAUUAAAACAACCUUUUUCGAUGGAUUUUUGAGGUGCAUUUGUACUUCUACAUUUUAAUGUUGCAACCUUAUAUAAACUUUUCCCUUUUGUAAAACCUCUUAAAGUUGGUAACAAUUAGAUCAUGCAUCCCACCAUUUCCUAAAAGUUGUGCAUGCAAGUCAUCCACAACGUGAGAGAGAUCAAGAGAGAGAGAAAGAGGGAGAUCAACAUCAACAUUCUUUCUAUAUCUUAAUAAUAUUUCCAUAUCCAUCAUUAUCUUAACAUUAUAUUUUUAUCUUAAUUAGGGAGGCCCAAGAGAGAAAGAUUUCCAUAUCCUCCUCAUCUUAAUAUUAUUUCUAUAAUUUAAUUAACGAUGCAUAAGAGAAACAUUUCCAUAACAUCCUUAUCUCAACAUUGUUUCUUCCGGUGUUUUUAAAACCUCUUAAAGUUGCUAAGAAUUAGAUCAUGCAUUCCACCAUUUCCUAAAAGUUGUUCAGUCAUCUCUGAUUUUUCCCCCUAAUUUAUGGUUCAAACCUCCUAAAGUGGGUACCUAUUCCCAACUAAACCCCCAUUGGGCCCAACUAAUAGAGAGAGAGAACCAACAAUCUUNNNNNNNNNNNNNNNNNNNNNNNNNNNNNNNNNNNNNNNNNNNNNNNNNNNNNNNNNNNNNNNNNNNNNNNNNNNNNNNNNNNNNNNNNNNNNNNNNNNNNNNNNNNNNNNNNNNNNNNNNNNNNNNNNNNNNNNNNNNNNNNNNNNNNNNNNNNNNNNNNNNNNNNNNNNNNNNNNNNNNNNNNNNNNNNNNNNNNNNNNNNNNNNNNNNNNNNNNNNNNNNNNNNNNNNNNNNNNNNNNNNNNNNNNNNNNNNNNNNNNNNNNNNNNNNNNNNNNNNNNNNNNNNNNNNNNNNNNNNNNNNNNNNNNNNNNNNNNNNNNNNAAUAAAAAGUGAUUUCGCCUACCUUCAUCGCCUACCUUAAUUUUUAUAAAUUAUUGUUUUAUAUUUUAUUAUUUUGUUUAUUAUUAUAAAGGUUUUUGGGAAAUCUAAAAAAAUAAAUUUCAAGAAAAAUUGAGCUCAUUAGACUUGUUUCUCAUUCUUCUAUCAGCUUCAAUACUGAGGUGCAUUGGAAGAUUCAAUAUAGUUAUCCCUUGUGUAGAGUGGUUCAAAGCAAUUACAACAGACUUCCAAGAUAGAGGAGACUGUUUAGGACAAUAGACACUUGCAUGCGAUCAGGGACUGUAUUCCCGGCCGUAAUAAGGUCCUUUGCGAACACUACCAUUUUAUUGACAUGCUUGGUCACUGAGUCUGAUUCUUUUAUUCUACAAUAAUUGUCUUUUUCUAACAACAAUUUCAUAUGGGUCUCAGAAGUGGUCCCAUACUUUUAAGAUAGGACAGCCAUCAUACUUUGAGAUGUAGUGUGAUCCUCAAAACUCUAAUUAAAUCAUUUUUCAUAAAGCUUAAAGUAGUAGUCCUAGCUAUUUUAUCAUCUUCUAACUAUUUGUCAAGUCGUAUUUUGGCUUGACCAUUGACAUUAGACUCUAAAACUGGUGAUUGACAUAAUCUACUCCAUCUUGAAAAAAAAUAUAUCCAAAUUUAUUUUUCUAUUUAAAAAAAUGGGAAAGCUGUCUAUACUCAUCUACGUCAUUGAACUUUUAUUCUCCCCGACCUUUUUAACCAUUGGCUUAAAAUUGAACGUUUACACGCGUUCCCUCAAAUUGUCACAAAAUGAGGGCACAUUAUCAACCGGUAACCCAUAUGAAAUAAGUCCAUACUAGGGAUAAGAGUACCCAAUUUUUAAGGAGAGAGAGAAAGCACGGGAGAAGAUGGGGACAGAGGGUGUUUUUGAGGAGAGAGAGAGCACGCAGAUUAGAGGGAGAGAGGGCCUCUUGGAGGGAGAGAGAGCAAACUGGUUGUCUACAUCGAUGACUCUACAACUAAUUUGUUUGCUUCCAUUACUAAAACCCACCUCCAAAAAGCUGUUAUCUCCAUUACCCAUUCUCCAUUAGUAGCACCCCAUGACCUCAUUUUCUCUCUCUUGAAGAAAUGCGUGAAAGCACCCCAACUGAAACAGAUACACGCCAUCAUGUUCAAAAUUUCUCUUUCUCACGAUUCUUUUGCAGUAAACCAAUUCGUCUCUGCCUGCUCGAGCACAGGCUCAAUGGACUAUGCAAUUUCCGUGUUUGCCCAUUUGCAAAAGGCCAACAUAUUUGUUUGGAACUCCAUGAUCAAAGGCUUUGUGCAUUGGCAUUCUUAUCAAAAGGCCAUUUCCAUGUACAAGAAGCUCUUGGUUUCCCCUGUUUCAGCAACCAGUUACACUUUCUCUUCUGUGAUCAAUGCUGGCACCCAAGUAUUGGGCUUGAGCGUAGGAGAAUCCAUUCAUGGCCAAGCUUUGAAAUGGGUUUUGAAUUCUCAGGUCUUUGUUGGAACUGCGCUGAUCGAUUUGUACUCAAAUCGUCGUGAGAUUUGAAAUGAUCGUAAGGUGUUUGAUGAAAUGGAGUCUAGGGACGCAGUCACUUUUACCAUGAUGAUUUCAGGUCAUUGCAAGAUUGGUGAACUGAGUUUUGCUCAAGAACUCUUUGAUGCCAUGCCUGAGAAAAACACAGCUUCAUAGAAUGCUUUGAUUGAUGCUUACUCAAAGGGUGGUGAUAUAGAAAAAGCGGCUUCACUCUUUGAUGAAAUGAGUCAUAAGGAUUUGGUUUCUUGGACCACCAUGAUCUCGAGAUUUUCAAAAUAUGGAAGGUUUAAAGAGGCUAUAGCUGUAUUCCAAGAGAUGGAGGCCCAAGCUGUGAGCCCUGAUUCAGUAACCAUGGCUACAGUAAUCUCAGAUUGCGCACACCUAGGGGGCCUUGAUUUAGGGAAAGAGAGACAUAACUAUGUUAGCUGAAAUGGUUUCAAUCUUGAUGUCUUUAUAGGAUCCUCUUUGAUCCAUAUGUAUGCAAAGUGUGGGAGCUUAGAGAGAUCCCUUCUGGUUUUCUACAAGCUCCAUGAGAAGAACCUCUUUUGUUGGAACUCAAUGGUCGAGGGGCUCGCCAUGCAUGGACAUGACAUGCAAGCCAUCAAGCUCUUUGAAAAGAUGGAAAGAUCAGGAGUUAAACUAAAUGGGGUGACCUUUGUUGGGGUUCUCAGUGCUUGUGCCCAUAUAGGUCUUGUCGAAAUAGGCCGAAGAUACUUCUAUGGGAUGACUCAUGAGCAUGGCAUUAUGCCAUGGAUUGAGCACUAUGGCUGUAUGGUCGAUCCUUUAGGGCGAGCAGGUCACUUAGAGUAGGCAGUAAGGCUCAUGGAAAGCAUGGAAAUGGAGCCUAAUGCAGUGAUAUGGGGUGCUCUUUUAGGGGGUUCUAAGAUUCAUGGCAAUGUCGGUUUGGCUGAAAUUGCAGUCAAUAAUUUAUUAGAGUUAGAGCCUGGUAAUAGUGGGUAUUAUAUGUUAUUGGCAAAUAUUUAUGCAGAGGAGAAUAGGUCGGAUGAGGUUGCGAGAAAAAGGGAGAGAAUGGAUUCAACUGAAAUAAUGAGAGAUAAUAGUAUGACCUUCAGGAGUGUAUUCAGAGCCUUGGAGACUUCUGAAGAGGAUAGACAUUGCAUGUGGAAGGAGAUUCAGCAAGUGGCAUUAAGUGGUGCAAAGAACUUUGGGAGACACCAUGGUAUUGGAGGUUAAUCAUGGAUAAACAAGCUAAUCUACCUCAAAAAGGCAGUUUCUUUUCGAGCACAUAACAACAAAAAUGAAGAAGCUGGGCUAAUUAAGAAAAAUAGCAGCGAAAAGGAGGGAGACCAUAAUAUUGAGGGAAAUAUAUAAGAGCAAGGAGACUCAUAUUGAGCUCUUCUUUGCUCAGUGCUCAAUUCACUGCCUAAUCACAUGCUGGGCCUUUACUUUGUAAAUUGCAUAUACCCAAGCCUCAGAUUUAUCUCUCAUUAUCAACAAUAUUAUUUAUUACAAAGGAAAAAUGUUACUUCUUUAGCUUCCUUUCAUAAAUCCAAAUGCUGUUUUAUUACAAAGAACAUUCUCAGGCCUAAGAAUUGUAUCUCAUUGUCUGCAAUGUUAGUCUUUUUCACUUUCUUGUGAUCAUAAUACAACAAUAAUGUUUUUUUUACUUUUAAUCUCUUGAAACACCAGGGCGCAAGCACCAAGGGUGAAGGGGAAGGGUGUACUUAGGUAGGGGCUUUUUACAUAUUUGUAAUUUAAAGUCUUGUAGUUGGAUAUGCACAAACUCAAUUUUGCAGGCAUAUUUUGAUAUAGUGCCUUGCCCUCUUACUCUAUGUACGUGCAACAUCUAUUUAAGACAGUAACCUUUCUCAAAUGAAUUCUAUUUCUUAUAUUUUGUCUUUUUCCUGGUGAAUUGGGAGUUGAGGCAAUGUCUUUUCUUGGUGAGUUCUAUUUAGGACAGGCCCCUAAAUACAUACUAAUUCUUUUUGUGGGAAUCAUGGAUUGCAAUUCAAGUUUUCAAACUGGGUUCCCAGGGAAUUUUCUUUCGAUUCAGGCUUGGUGUUUCCUUUUGAUUCAAGGAAUUUGGUCUACGCAGUGAAAAUGUUAAAAUGGACAAUCAGUGGUAGUUUUAAUUUCUUAUCAAGGUUCUAGAAGCAAAUUUGGGUAGUUUUCUGCGAGCAUGUAUGCUUCUACCUUGAUAUCAACUUCUUACCUAAUACUAUCUAGUGUAUGAAUUUGGGGGAAUUAGAAAUAGCAUUUUUAACUGACAUAAAUUAGAAACAAAGGCUAUCUCCACACCCAUACUAUCUAUUGUAUGAAUUUGGUGUACUAUUAUUUUAGUAUUAAAAUCUGUGGAGUACUAUUGGAAGCACAAACCAUCCAUAGAGUUUGUAGGGGGGAGAGAGAAAGAGAGUGAGAAACACGCACACACACCAAAGAGUGAUAAAGAGAGUAAGAUAGCUAGGUCAUGGGAUAGCGCCAAAGAUCUACAUAUUGUUUGCAACAUAUGGAAGCUUAACAAAAAAUUUAUUUACAACAUCAAUUUGCAAAAUGGAAAGCUAUACAAAAAUUCCAUUUGAAGCUAUCAACAUGUACUUUGAAACUAUACAAAAUUCUACUUGCAACAUGAAUUUGCAAUAUAUGGAAGCUAUACAAAAAUUCCAUUUCGAAGCUCCAUUCCAAGAUAAAGUCUUCUCCACUAGCAUUGGGGUUGCAAAAAAUUUCUAACAUGAUGAGCUUGAUUGUUGAGCAUUGAGGUUGCAAAAACUUUCUGAGAUGAUGAGCUUGAUUGUUGAGCAUUGGGGUCGCAAAAACUUUCUAAGAUGAUGAGCUUGAUUGUUGAGCAUUGGGCUUGCAAAAUAUUUCUAAGAUAAUGAGCUUGAGAGUUGACCAUUGGACUUAUACAUAAAACUACAAUCUUGUUCUUAAAGUUAUGGCCUCUGCUUUGACUUCUUGCAUUGUUAUCCAAAUUGAUAUAGUCAUCGAAAAUUUAAGAUAUACAUUAGUUCAAUAACCAAUUGAAAAUGAAAAGAACUAAGCAUUUAACAUGAGACACAUGUCAUUAUAUCCUAAUACAUUUAAUAUAUAGCAAUAAAUCGGUGCAAAUGUAUUAUCGAUAUACCAUAAAAAAAAACGAAUAAUGUACAUAGGGAAGUCUGCAUAUUGUUUCGCUCAGCUUCAGGCUCGAUUGUGGGAAAUGGACGCUUUAUAAGAAGUAGAUAAGCACUAAGGUUUGCAAUGGGUAGAAGGUAUGGCAUGACUAAGUGUUGCCAAGAUAAAUAUACUAACAAUAUGCACAGGUAGAAGAUAAAUAUUUGAAGGCCCAAUGGCUACCCGCCGUAUGUGCCAAAUACUAUGGCACUUGCAAUUACCCCAUGAACAACUUCUUCCGAGCACUGGGCAUGGAUCACCUCCGCUACGAGAUGAGCCGCUACUUGUAUGCUUCUUCGAGCCCUAAGCUGCGCAAAUUCUUCAAGAAAUCGUUGUCGGCACAGACGUGGAGCCAGAACACGACCUGGAUCGGCUGUGGCGGUGGCCACCGACCCCGAUGUGGUGCAGAAGCUCGGGCGGCGGGACAUCGUGUUUCCAUGGUGCGGCACGGUGACGUACCUGGAGUGGGUGGAGGACCUGAUGGAGUACCAGGUGGGGCCCAAGUCUUGCCCGGAUGACAAGGUGAAGGUGGAGUCAGGGUUCUUAGAUUUGUACAACUCCAAGGUGUCCGCCUGCAACUAUUGCUCCUACUCGGCCCGCGACUAGGUACAUGGCCUAGGAAAGCGUUAGAAAGGUUGUUAUAACGGUAACGAAUCGCGGCCUUAUGGUACGUCACGGUAAUAGGGUGUGAAAAAGGUUUUGAUAGAAAUAUUUGGUUAACAACGGCCGUUUUUGGUUUGCUCAAUGUGAUCUCUUAGGAAAACAAAUGGAGGAGCGCGUUGUUUUCUAUAAUAACCCUGUAGGCCGGUCCUGAGUGUACCGGGACUCGGACGAGUCUGUUAUGGGCGAGACUGAGUCUCCCCUAGUUGUGUGUUGAAUUCGGGGAUAUUAUAAUUUAUUUUAAAAUUCUGGAAUAUUAUAAAAAAUGUGAGAUUGAUCUUUUUUUUGUGUAUGAUUGGUAUGAUUUCGGCUAGGAAAAAGUUUAUAGAAGGAGGCUACCUUAUAAUGUAGAACUACGGAUGCCCUUCAAAAAUCCAUCGGAAAAGGUAGUUUUAAUGUUGAAAAACCCUUUGAUUGAUCAUCUCGACAUCGAGAUGUAUGAAUAUGAAAAAUAAAAAUAUUUUAAGUCUCAGAAAUAGUGCAUUUUAUAACAUAUUAUCUACAUCGUCUAUUUUCAAGAUUUUCAUAUGUUUAUAAAUCUACUUGAUUUUAACCAUUUUUUGAAAUUUAAAAUUUUAUAAUUAGAUAUAAAAAUAGAUUUUGAGAUAAUUCUAAGAACAUUUUAAAUCAAAAUUAUAUACUAUGAUAAAAUUUGAAGGUGCACCUUACCUCUACACCUACGGAUGCAUCUGUAUGCCAACUGCACCUUUUCGGCAAUGAUCGGUGAGUGUUUUGUUUUUGCCAUAAAUCUCUAUUUUUUUUACUUUUUUUUUUGGAUUUCUAAACUUAUUUUUUAAAAUACAUCUUUAAGUCUAUUUGGGCUCCUUAAGGUUUUUUGUUUGAUUUUGUUUUUAAUAUAUUUUCUAUUUUUUGGAGUUUUCUACAAUUUUUUGUUUCAAUUUAGUGAGGGCCCUAUGCGUGGACUCCACCGAGGUAGGCCAACAAGAGUACCUUGCCCGAGUCGAUUUUUUGUAUAGUGCUAGUCCGCUUAUCUGAAAUAUUUAAUAAAUUGAGAUACAUAUAUAAGUUGUUUCUUUAGUUUGGUAACAAGUAAAACAUUGGGGAUAUCUAAAUAACCAAGAGCGGUGGAAACAAUCACAGAUCCAAUGUGGGUUAUAAGUAAAGCAGUACCAUUUCCAGUGAAAACCAUGCAAAGACCGUGGUAAGGAAUCACAACUCAAAGUUGAGAGUUGUCAUAUGUCAUAUGAACAAUUGCACCAGAGUCCAUAACCCAUUAUUGAUCAGUUGGGGUAGUGAUCUAAAGGUUGUUAAAAUCAUGCACUAGCGCAUUGUGAGAUGAUGAAACAUUUUUUAUGUCCCAAAAGUUUUUAGCAAUAGACCCAUGUCGUCCACAAUACUACCAGGUUACACCACGUGCUAUACCCAUUCUUGGCUGAAGAGGUUGAUGGUUAGAUAGUUUGACUCCCAGAAUGCCUUGUUGAUUUUGGUUGCGAUCUCUACCUUCGUAACGGUCACAUCCUUGGCCAUAUCCUCCUCUAUGUCCUAGUGAUGUGUUCAUCAAGGCAUGAUGAUUACUCUCAAUGAUUGAUGAAGAUAUAAAUCGAGUUUCGUAUGUGAUAAGGGAAGAUCGAAGCUCUGAGAGGAACAUAAAUGGAGGUUUGGUCAAACGAGAAGUCUCAAAGGACAAACUUUAGACAAGGCCUUUGAGACUAUAGCGGACCAUAUCUUGAUCAGUCAUUGGACAACCAAUAGCUGUAAGAUGGUCACAUAUAGUUAUUCGGAUAUUCUGUCACUGAUUGAAGCCCUUUUUGUAAAUUGAUCAAUUAAGUUUUAAGUUGGAGAACAUUGGCAAAUGUUUCACUUUGAUAUGUAUUAUAAAGUGUCUCCCACACUUAUUGAGUUGCCUUUAGGUACAUGACUUCAGUAAGCAAGUCAUUAGAGAGUAUAGAGAGAAACCAGCUCAAUAACGUUUUAUCCUUCAUCUUCCCUUCUAGAAAUUUGGGGUUCUUUGAUAGUUUUGGGUUAGAGCCUGAACCAUCUUUUGGUUAAUUCAAGACUUGAGCCUUCCAUUUGUGACAGUUGUCUCUACUUAAUUUAAUAGAUAUAAAGAAUGGAAAAUAAAGGAUGGAAAAUUAAGUGAGGCCAUAAAUGAAAGGACAUGUUACUUGACUUAUUUAAUAGAUAUAAAGGAUGGAAAAUAAAGGAUGAAAAAUUAAGUGAGGCCAUAAAUGAAAGGACAUGUUACUUGACUUAAGGUUUUGAGAGACAACGGGGAGUAUUUCGGUAUCAUACUUUCUGAAGUUUAAGUAACAAGCUAAGACUUACUUCGGUUGAAUUGGUGCCAAAGUAAAAAACUGACCUUUCAAAAUCAACUUUUGUAAAAGAGGUAUCAGAAUCAACUUCGAUGAGAGGUGCUGAAGUUGACGAACCAGAACUUACUAUGGUAUGAGGGGUGCCGAAGUUGUCAAGCACAUAACAGAACCUACUUCGGUUGAAUUGGUAGCUAAGUUAAAUUUAAGAAUAGGGAGAACUGACGUUACCAGAAGAUUGACUUUAUAGCUUUUACAAGUGGGAGAGAAAGGAGAGAAAGUGACUUCCAAACAAAGAGAUAGAGAAUGACUUUUCAACAAAUCUCCAACAAAGGCAAAGCAAGAUAUAGAGAGAGAGUCCACUUAACAACUUUUACAAUAGAGAAGAGAGAGAAACUACAUAUUUUCUAAAAGAGAGAUAAAACCACUGUAUUCAAAACCACUUAAGAGGCAGGGACUCUACGAGAUAAUAGAUUUAGCAAUACAGAAGAGAAAGAUGGAGGAUGCACUAACAAAUGCAAAUGGUGCUGCUGAGAGUAGUGGGUGAUGAAGCCCAUUAGUGGCUCUGAUACCGUGUCAAACUUAUGAAGUGCUGCUGAGAGAAGUGGGUGAUGAAGCCCGUUAGUGGCUUUGAUACCAUGUCAAACUUAUGAAAUGUUGCUGAGAGAAGUGGGUGACGAAGCCUGUUAGUGGCUUUGAGACCGUGUCAAACUUAUGAAACCCUAGAGAGACAAAAAUGGAUAGAACACCUCUGUGUAUUUCGUUCAUACUAAUCUCAUAGUUUACAUAUACAAUAGACAGAAAUGCGUUUGAGAAUAAAAAAUAAAACAAUACCCUAUAUAAUAUCACUAAAAAUACAGUCACACAAUCUCUCUCUUAGCAAUAAGAACUUGGACCUAACCCAUCAAGUCCAAUAUUUGGAUAGGGCUCAUGUGGUGUCGACCUACCAUUGGGGUUGACCAUCAUCAAGGUCGACCCGAUCGUAUUGCCACCCCUAAAAGCACUAAGAGCUAGGACAACAGUGACCUUAAAAACAGGUCAUUGAUGAAUGAAUUGAUCGGAAGGCCAAGGUAAGAUACCAUGAAAACCUCUAAGUACUUUCCCAGUGUGGACAAUGGUACUAUUUUUCGGGUUCGGCCCACCUGAGCUCCAUGAAGUGUGUGUAUUUGUUGGGUUCGCCCCACAUGAGCUCCAUGAAGUUGUGUAUUUGUUGGGCUCGGCCCACAUGAGCUCCAUGAAGUCUGUGUAUUUGUCUGUUGCAAGUGUAUUUGCACUCGUGUAUGCCUUUAAACCUUGGUCAAAACCAUAGGAGAUUAGCAUGUGACGACUCUAAUGAAAGAGAUAGGUAUCCAGAUAAGUAUUUUAAGACCCAUUAAGUUCGGAAGAGUCAGUAUUUUAAGACCCAAUAAUGUCCAAUCCAGAUAAGUAUCCAGAUCACUGAUAUGGGUCAACCCUCUUUCAUUCUCUUUUCUUUUUCUUUUUCUUUCUUUAAACUUAUCUAAUAUUGUAUUUAGGCCUUCCCCCAAACAAAUCAAUUCCCCACUUAAUUACCUCCAUUUUAAUUUUUAUUUUAUUUCAUUUAUUUAUUAAUUUUUCUUGGGAUCACUGAUCGGAGAAUGAACCAGAACAUUGAUCAUCUAUGGUUGGAUGAUCUAUCACACCAAUAUGUUUUUUUUAAUGGUACGGUUUGUAUAGAGUUGAGGCUCUAAAUAAUCAAAGUAAAGCGCACCUUCAAAUGGUGUCGAGAAAUGUGGUUUCAAUACUGGAAAUCUUUGUGAUAACAUUAAAAAAUAUUUUCUUCUUUAAGCAUAAAAUUUAAAGCUUUAAAAAUAGUUUAGAUCGAGCGGAUGAAAUAUUGAAAAUUGAUGGUCAAAAAAUAUGUUACAAAAUACAUUAUUUUCAAAACUUGAAAUUCAUUUUUUGUCGAGAUGAUCAAUUUAAGGAUAUUUAAACAUCAAAAGAACCCGUUCUAUUCAAGUUUUUGAGGUGAGCUGUAUAUGCCUUUAAACCUAUGUCAAAACCAUAGAGAGGAGAUUAGCAUGUGACGACUCGAAUGAAACAGAUAAGUAUCCAGAUAAGUAUUUUAAGACCCAUUAAGUUAGGAAGAAUCAGUAUUUUAAGACCCCAUAAUUUCGGAAGAAUCAGUAUUUGAAGACCCAUUAACUUCCUAUCCAGAUCCGGAUCCAAAUCACAGUUAGGGAUCAACCCUCCUUCAUUGUCUUUUCUUUUUCUAUUUCUUUAAACUUGUCUGUACUUACGCCUCCCCCAAACAAAUCAAUUCCCCAUUUUAAAUUUUAUUUUAUUUCACUGAUCCGAGAACGAUCCAGAACAUUGAUCACCUAGGGUUGGAUGUCUAUACCACCACUAUUUUUUUUUUUUAAUCGUGCGGUUUGUAGAGAGUUGAGGCUCUAAAAAAUCAAAGUAAAGCGCACCUUCAAAUGGUAUUGAAAAAUGUGGUUUCAAUAUCAAAAAUCUUUGUGAUAGCUUCAAAAUAUGUUUUCAUCUUUAAUUACAAAAUUUAAAGCUUCAAAAAUAGUGUAUAUCCAACAGUUGAAAUAUUGAAAAUUGAUGGUAAAAAGUUGUAUUACAAGAUGCAUUAUUUUCAAAACUUGAAAUCCCUUUUUUUCUCAUGUCUAUGCAUCUUGAUGUCGAGAUGAUCAAUUUAAGGGCAUUUAGACAUCAAAACGACGUGUUCUAUUGAAAAUUUUGAGAUGGCCGCUAAUUUAAUUGUUUAGAACUCGGCUCUAUAUAAACUUUUUCCUUUUUUUAAACCCUCGGGAGAAUAAAAGUUGGAGAUUUGUGCACAUAUCAAAAUUUUCUUUCGUUUGGGCGAAGGACAGGAAUUCAGUAUUAUUGCAUCAUAUUUCAAAUUUCAAAAAUUUCUUGAAAUUUAACCAAAAUUCGGCCAAAUUGGAGACACUUCGAACAAAAUCCUCGUGAUACAUGUGGAUCACACUGUAGAUAGUACAUUAGCCCGUAGAAGCCCAUGUGAUACACGUUGACCACACCUACUAUAAAAUGCGAGCACUCCCAAGCCAUACCAUGAACUCAAGCUAAACCACAAAGAAACAGGAGAGAACCAGGAAUUUUGAAAGCUUCAGCUGGUUCUUUCACGGCAUCCUUGCUAAAAGCUCCCUCUCCUCUCUACCAUGAGCCAUCUCUCUCUCUCCAACGUACCACCACCUUCCAGCCUCUCCUCCCACCGAGAUCA